GGAUGGAGAACUUUAAACUGGGUAUGGCUGGCCCCAAAAAGGCUCGAAAGCUGCUUGAGACAACAGGGUUUUGCAGGGAAUCCUUACAGGUUCCUUUCUGGUGACAUAAAAGAGCUCUUCACUAUGAGCAGACAAACAAGAGCGAAACCUAUGCCUCUUAGUGAUGAUAUUGGGCCUUAUGUUGUUCCUUUUCAACAUCAAACCGCUAACCAGUAUGGUAUGUUUUUUUAUUUAAUCUGCAAUUUAUGAUAAUUCUUUGUUAUUUACGUAUGGAAUUUAUUGGGAGGAAAUGCAGGAAAGAAUUCAUUUACGUGGUUUGGUCCAAGACCAAGGGCGAACAUUACGGACCCUGAAAAAAUAAGAGAAAUACUUAACAAAUUUAAUGACUUCCAGAAGAUACGUACCAAUCCUCUGCUUAAUUUGCUUGUAAGCGGCCUUGUUAACCUCGAAGGAGACCGAUGGAGCAAGCGUAGAAAAAUCAUAAACCCUGCAUUUCAUCAAGAUAAGUUGAAGGUAUAGAAUAGUGAUGGGUAAUCAGACUUUACAGAAAACAUCAUACUUAAACCUAUGCUUUUCUGAUUUAGAAAUAAUUGGAUGCAGAAUAUGUUGCCAGCAUUUUAUCAAAGUUGUAGUGACAUGUUAAGCAAAUGGGAGAAGAUGGUGUGUACAGAAGGAUACAGUGAGUUAGAUGUGUGGCCUUAUCUCGUAGAUUUGACAAGAGAUGUGAUUUCCCGAUCUGCUUUUGGAAGCAGCUUCGAAGAAGGCAAACGAAUUUUCCAAUUACUAGAGGACCAACUCGUUGUCACAAUCAAAUUAAUACAAACUGUUUACAUUCCAGGAUGGAGGUAACCGUCAACUUAGUUUACUUGAAAAUGGUUGCAAAUGUUGGAAUUGGCUAAAUUCGUGUUUGUUUUCUUGAAGGUUUUUGCCAACAAAGACAAACAGGGAGAUGAAGAUGAAACACAGAGGCAUAAAAGAGUCGCUUAGGGAAAUGAUAAAGAGAAGGGAGAAGGCAAUUAAAGCAGGGGAAGAGAGCAAUGAGGACUUGUUGGACAUACUUGUGGAAUCCAAUAUCAGAGAAAUGGAAGCAAAGAAUAUGGGGAUGAGCAUUGAGGAUGUGAUUGAGGAAUGCAAGCUGUUUUACUUUGCUGGCCAGGAGACCACUUCGGUCUUACUGGUGUGGACUAUGGUUUUAUUAGCAAGGUAUCCCGAUUGGCAAAGUAAAGCAAGAGAGGAGGUUUUGCAUGUUUUGGGUGACAGUAAACCUGAUGCUGAUGGCCUUAAUCGUCUCAAAGUUGUAAGUCCCUAGCAUGUCUUUUGAAGGUCCGAUCAAUGAGGUCGACAACUCAAAAACUUUGUUUCUUUUUACGCUAAUUCUACAGGUAACAAUGAUAUUGUACGAGGUUCUAAGGCUGUACCCACCGGUGGUUGAGCUAGGACGUUCCGUUCCAAAAGAAAUAAAACUGGGGAAUUUGUUGUUACCAGUAGGAACAGAAGUUUCGGUUCCGAUCCUGCAGAUCCACCAUGACAAAGAUCUUUGGGGUGACGACGCACGGGAAUUUAAGCCAGAGCGGUUCGCGGAAGGGGUUUCCAAAGCAACAAAGAGUCAAGUCACGUUUCUGCCAUUCGGAUGGGGUCCUAGGAUCUGUAUUGGCCAAAAUUUUGCUUUGAUGGAAGCCAAAAUGGCGAUGGCUAUGAUUCUCCAACGCUUCUGGUUCGAGCUUUCCCCUUCCUAUGCUCACUCUCCUUACAGCAGGGCAACUCUUCGUCCACAGCAUGGUGCACAGAUAAUUUUACAUAAACUUGGCUGUAAUUGAAUUGUUAUGUAAACAAAUCUUUGUGAAAACAUAGCGUUUUAGUGUAUCGUCAAAGUCCGGUAUCUGUAAUGGUACAAAUUCGAUGAAUGAAUAGUAAAUUUUGAGAUGUUUGGUGAAGUCCGAAAUAAUAUGCAGAAAUUGAGCGUCUGUGGUGGACAUAGUUGAGGGACUAAUGUGGUAAUUAUCAAUCAAAUAAUUCGGUACAAAGACUUAUAUGGAAAUUAAAGCAGGGGGAGUUGAAAAUGACUACUCUGCUUUGGGCAUCAAUUUAGAAAGAUUUAAAGUUCAAAUGUGUUAUUAGUUAAGGGAUUUGUUUUAAAGAGGGAAUGACAAUUAAACCUCAUGGUUGAUUUGUGCAAGGAACCGAUGAUGGGAUGAUUAUUCUUAGUGGUAAAAAAAACCAUUAUGGAGGUUAUUACACUUGUUAUCAUCGGCUUAAAAUUCGAUUGGGUUCAGGUCGGAUUAUAUCGAGCUUGUAAGAUAGUUCACCGACCAAGUUUGCAUAAUAAAAUACCUAAAUGAAAAAAAUUUCUAUUUUAGAGGAACCAGAGCCCCUACCAACUCCCGGUUCAACCACUAAACAAUAGCCAUAUCAUAUAAAUAAAUACCACCAUCUAAAAGACUAAAAAAAAACACUUAACAAAGGAUAAAUAGAUAGAUGUUGGAUAAGUGUCCAAAAUAUGAUCUAAGUGAAGAUACGUGGGGUAGGUGUUACGGAAAUGUGAAGACAAGAAUCCCACUAACGUAUGGGAUGUGUACAGUUGAAUGUAGGAAGCUAGUAAAAAAAUUUUUUUGGGUCAUAUAAUUUGUUUAGCAUAUAUUUUUAUAAUUUUUAAAUAUCAUUUUGGAGUUGAAUUAUAAUUUUUUUAUAUAUUAUCUUAAAAUUUUAAGGAGUUAAAACAAAAUUAUUUUAUUUUCAGAUGGUCAAAGUAGAGGUGAUAAUGGGUUGGGCUAUUCGGCCCGGCCUGACGAUUCACCCGAAAAAUAGGAGGGUUUAGGUAAAAAUAUAGGCUCGAAAUAUGGAUUUGAGCAAAAAAAGAGGCCCGUUUAGAAAAUGGGCUAGGCCUCGAGUAAAAUUUUUUGGGCCCAGGCCUGACCUGAAUUAUAUAUUAAAUAUAUAUAUUUUAUUUUUAAUCAAAUAUACUUUUGUUUUAUUAUUAAUUUGGUUAUUAUUUUAGUUCUAAUUUGUUUCAAUUUUAAUAUAACCAGUUUUUAUUAUAUUUUCAAUUUGUGUAUUGUUUUAAGAAUUGUUUUAGUCUCAUUAUUUAUUUAUUUUUUGUUUUAAUAUUUGUUUUAAAAAUUUUUAUUUAAUGAAAUAAGCUAAAAAAAUUAAUAUGGGCUGGGCCAGGCCAGGCUCGGGCCUAGUAAUUUUCUUUUGGGCCGGACUUAGAUAAAUUUUUAAGUCCAUAUUUUGAAUUGGGUCCUAACCUAAAAAAUAGACCUAAAAUUUUAUAUGGGCCCAGCUUGAACCCGACUUGGCCCAUGAUUACCUUUAAGUCAGAGCUAUCCUCGUUUUGCAUUUCUUUGAGAUUCAGCCUUAUCUACUAUUGAUUGCCCUCUCAAUUGAGGUUUGAGUAGAAAGAUUUGGUGAAGCAAGCUAAGCUAUCAAUCAAGGUUUGCAUAAUUAUUUAAAUGUAAUUCUAAUAUUAAAAUAAUUUUUUUUAUUAAUAUAGUAUCAACAAGCAUUAAAUGUAAUGAUCAUAUACUAUUACAUUUUCAAGAAGAGAAAACAUGUUUGAACUUUAAAAACGACGUUACUAAAAACAUUAUCACAAAUCUUGAAAUAUAAAAAAUAUUUUUUUAAAUAUAAUAAAAAAUUAAUUUUAAACCUGAGCUGAAUAAAAUUCUAAUUUUAGUUAAUGAUACCAACAACAAAUCAAUAUUCUAAGCCCGAGCCCGGCUCAUUUUUUUAAUAAACACCAAAAAUUUAUUUUGAAAAUAAAAAAAGUAUUUUAAAAAAAUUUUAAAAUUAAAAGAAUAAAAAUAUAUAUUUAUUAUAUAUUCAGGCCGGGCCGGGCCGGCCCCGGGCCAAAAAAGUGGUGCUCGAGACCCGACCCAUUGUCUAAAUGGGCCUCAUUUUUGCCCAAACCCAUAUUUCGGGCUUAUAUUUUUACCCGAACCUCUCAUAUUUUGGACGGAUCGUCGGGCCGGACCAGGCCGCCCGACCAUGAACACCUCUAGGGCAAAGUCACUCAAUGAAUGCAUGGAAAGAAAGAAUGCAACUUGGUGACAGCUUUUGUUGGAGUUAUAUGCUUUUUUUUACAUAGUGGAACUUUCUGUGGAUUUUCAAGUUUCAUGAACUUUAUACCCUAUGCUUUACGUGAAAAAAAUCAUUGGACUUAAAAGUCUACCAAAAGUUUCACUAUAAUAAAUAAAUAAAUAAAUAAAUAACAUUGCUACAAGACUACAACAUAAAGUUACAAUAAGAGCUUAUAACUCAACAAAGGCUAUCAAUAAAUAAUCUCAAGCAAGCUAAAGAGAAAUGUUGAGAGUACCACUCAAAUAGUGAUUGACUUUAAAAAUUAAAAACCCGAAGUUAUAAUAUCCCAAACGAAAUCAAACCAUAAACAUUAAAUUUUUCGAGUCUACUAGAUACUGUAAAAAAUUCAGCUCCAACGGACACCAAAUGAACCUAUGAUUGAAGAAAAUACGAAAACUAGUCUGGCUAAAUCAAUCUGCCAAACUUACUUUUUAUCUUAUCUUUAAUUUGCUGUGAAAUUCAAAACUACGUGUAAUACCCAAUUUAUGCCCGGCCCAUUUUGUUAAACCAAAUAAAAAAGAAAAGAAAAACAAAAUAUUUAAAUUUAGCCCAAAUGUCCAUUUACACAGCCCAAUUACAAUUGCAAAUAAAAAAAAACUAAAACUAAACCCGAUCCUAAGCAUCAGCCCAAAUUCGACCCAUGCCCAAAACGAAUUCAGAUGCAGAAACCCUAGCCCAGCCUCAACGCAAGAAAAAGUCGGAAGCCCUAAUGGUUGGUGCGCCGCUCCUGUAACAGCCCGAUUUUGGGUCUAGUCGGAACAGUGGUUUUGGGACCACAAAUCCGACGAGAAAAAAAUGUAAUGGCCUGAAUUUUCAGAGGUGUCGGAAUGGUGAUUCGAGAUCACUAAAUUCGAAAAAUGGGUAGAAAAUAUUAUUAAUUUAGUGAGUAUAAGUUAAAUGUGAAGUUAGGAAAAUUUUUGAAAUAGUGAAUAGUACACUAGAAAUAAAUAUUAAAAUAAUUAGAAUCGAAAAUGAGGUAUCGAGACCUCGGGGAUUUUAAACCUAGCCAUAAAUAUUUAUGUAGUGUUAAAAAGUUAGUAUUAAAGUUUCGUUAAGAAAUUUUAAAGUUCCGAUAAUUAAUUGAACAAAAAGGACUAAAUUGUAACAAAUACAAAAUUAUGAGAAAUGAUUAAAUAGCUUAAAUGAUAAAAGGAAGAGGGCUUAAAAGGCAAAUAGACCCAAGGGCUAUUUGGGCUGGACGGCAAAGGCAUGAAAUCAGCAACAAAGUAAGGAGAAUUAAGGGCAAAAUUGGAAUAUUGCAAAAUUUACUUAAUAAAGUUAGGACCAAAGUGGAAUUAUCUAGAUUUCUCUUUAUUUUUCUGCAUUCUCAUUAGCAAAAACACCAUAGAAGGGUUUCCUUAAGCCGGUUCUUCCUAUUUUUACUGCAGAUAAGUUCAAUUCUUGAUUAUUUCUUGAAAAUUUUGUGUUUUUGUGACUUUUACAACUAGGCCCACUUAUUGUAUUCAUUAGUUUUUGAUUCUAUGAAAGAAUUUGAAAGUUGCUAUGAAUACAUGCUGGAAGUAUAUGAUGAUUUAGCAUGGAAUUAGAGCUUUAAAUUGUUCAUAUGCUGAUUUUAUUGAAAGAAUUGAAUAGAAAGUGAAUGUUUGGGACCUAAUAGUAAAAGAGUUUGAAGAUAGAGUUAUAUGUGGAAAUUCUGAGUUUCAAUAGUUGUGAAACAACUUAUAAUGUCUAGGUAAAUUAUUAAUUGAGAAAAUUAAAUUAAUUGAGGGGUUAAUUGAGAAAGGACCGAAUUGUAUAAACUGUGAAAUUUGGGGCAAAAAGGAAAUCAACAUUUUGCACUAAAGCAGUUUUGGACAGCAGCAGUAGUAUAAAUUUGAAAAAUCACCAAAAAUUUUGGGAAUUGAAUUAGAGGGUGAAUAAAAUAUGAAAUUAAAGCUUAUUGAGUCUAGUUUCUUAUAAAGGAAACGGUGUAAGCAAUGGAAUUGUAAAUCAUGAGAUAUAAUAAAUUUUGCGAGACAAUGUCAGAAUGAUUUCGGGUUCCCCUAUUCUGACUUUGGAAAAUCAUUAAAAAUUGAAAAAAAAUUAUGAGUUAUAAUUUAUAUGAUUAGAAUCCUUAAUGAGUCUAUUUUCAAAAUAAAUAAAUGGAAACGUCAUAAAAAUUCUGUACAAUUAGAUAAUUCAUUUUUAGUGAAGAGUGGUCGGAACUGUCAGACAGCAAAACAGGGGAAACUUUAAAGAAUAAAAUGUACUAUUUGGCUGAACCAAAAAUUCUGAAAAUUGUAUGGUAAGAAGGUAUGUGAGUCUAGUUUCAGGGAAAAUUAAGGGAUCUUAAUUUAGAGCUCUGUAGCUCCAGAUAAAAAUAAUUUAGUGACUCUAACUCGGAUAAACAGCUUUGAAUAUACAUGUGAGUGAAUAGUGAAAUUAUAGCUAGUGUUGUUUAAGUGUGUUAUACACAAUAAGGAUGUGGAAUGGAGAGGAGGAGGAGGAGGAAAAAUUGGGAAAUAUAUGAAUGAUUUGUGUAUAAUUGGUCAUAUGCUUAAUUAUAAUUGAUAAACGAUGAAAUAGAAAUGAUGCAUAUAUUUGUGCAGUAUUGGUCAUGGUUUAAGCUCAUGUGGCAAAAUAAAGUUUAUAGUACGGGUGUAUUGUAUUUUUGGUAUAUGAUUUGGCAUUAAGUAAUGUCGUGAAUGGGUAUUGAAUUAACACAUGUUGGAAAGUUUGAUUCAGCACGCGUCGAGCCUCCGCGCCAAAACCACGUGAGCCUUCGUACACUCCAACUGGCCUCCGUACCUGCAACAAACAAAAGUAGACAAAACAACAGCAAAUGAUAGGAAGAAAAGGUAGUAAAUAGUGAAGAUUUUUCUGUAAUUUUCUUUGGAUUUCAUUCUGUAUUUUCGGCUAUAAAAGAGCCAUUAGGAAUAUUUGUAAAGGAGUUUUUUUUUUACCCUCACACACAAAGAGAAUAUACACGCAUACAAGAUCAAUAUAGAGAAAAAAAUAAAAAAAAAUACAAAGAAUAGAAAAUCAAGUUUCGAAGGUGAUUCUUUGAAAAAUCCUUUUCGUUUUUCUCCUUUUUCCUUUUUCCUGGAUCUUUUGUUCAUUUCAAGUAAAAAAAGUAUAAAAAGGAAACAAGUUUAGAGGAAGGAGGUUUACCUGGACGCCGGACCUCGCUCGCCUCGUCGAAAUCGAAGGCUGAGAGGGGAUAAAUCGGUUUUGCGACGGAAGGAAAGGGGGCUAGGGUUCUUCUUUUAAUUUUAAAAAAAAAAUAGAAAAUGUUGCUAAUUAGGUUUUAAUGGGGGGAUUUAUGUGUGUUAAAAAAACGACGUCGUUUAGCGACCUUUGACCCGCGCGGUGACCCGACCCGAGGAAAGGAUCCGCGCGUUUUGGGUCUGAUGGGUUUAUUGCGCAACAAGCCCUUCCGCAUUUGUUUUUCGUUUCAAUCCGGUUUUUAUUUGUUUUUUAAUUGCUCUCUCAUAUUUAGUUCCAAUUUCAAUUGGGUCCAUGAUUAAACGACAUCGUUUUCAUUGAUUGGGUUUGAAGGCCUAGUUUUGUGCGUCUAAAUUGCAGCAAUGGUCCCCCUGAUGUGCAAUGGUUCUCGAUUUAGUCGUCUCCACACUUAUUUCAAAGUCGUCCCUGAGAUUUUGUUUUAUUUUUGAAAUUUUCCUUGUCUUCUUUUAAUUUAUAAUGCUAUUAUUAUUAUUAUUAUUAUUGUUGUUGUUGUUGUUGUUAUUAUUACUAUUAAUAUAGGUAUUGUUAUCGUGUUAGUUUAUAUCUAUUUAUUUACUUUUAUUUUAUUAUGUAUUAUUAUAUAAUGCUUUUAUCAUGUAUCAUUUUAUAUAUUUUCUAUGUUAAUCUAAUAUGAUAUAUAUAUAUAUAUAUGUAUUUUUGUGAUCUUAUUUUAUAAUACUUUUUUAACCCAUUUAUAUGCCUUUAUGUUUUAAAGAUUUAUAAUAUUUUGAGCAAAACUAUUAUAUAUAUAGAUAUACAAUUUAUAUUAGACCAUUUUUAUCGUACAUAUACGUAUAUAUAAUUUAUAUUUUGAAACCCUAUUUUAUUAUAUUUUAUGCCUCUAUAUACAUCAUUAUAUGUUUAUUAUUCUUUAUAUUAAACCUGUCAUUUCACUUAUAUAUUUUUAAAACCAAUAUGUAUUAUUCUUUCUUCCUUGUUAUUUUUUAUCUCUUAAAAUAGAUUGAUAAUUCAUUUAAUUUUUGAAUGUUGUAUGACCGAGAUUAUCGUUGCCAUUCUUGUUCAAAUUUAUCCAUUGCUUGUUCAUAUUAUUUGAUAAUUUAUCGCUCACUAGCAUGUACCGUAAUUUACGAAUUAUCAAUUUGAAUUAUGUACUACCAUUCAAUCGCAUUACAUUUGUUUGGAAAACAUCGAAAUCGUUUUGCACAUAAACCUUCAAAAUGCUCGGUAUCCAAAAUUCUCGAGAGGAUUGUGUCCUAACUUACUAGGCUUCAAUUCUCCUUCUUGAUUUUAAAUAACCGAAUACCCCUUUUUCAAUUUGAACAUAGAAAUUCCAAAAUAAAAAAAAACUCAUUCUCGGGAAUUUGAUGCGUUGUGUCCUAACGUAUUGGAUAUGACAUAUUUUUCUCGAGACGAGGAUUUUUCUAACAAAUAAAAAUAAAGACAAUAUUUGAUAUUUAGGAAUUUUGUGAAAUCGAAGCCUAACUUACUGGGUUUUGAUUUUUUCAUUUGACCCAAGUCGGAUAUCCUUCUCAAAUGCAUAGAUUUUAAAAAAUCAAAAGAUAAACUUAAUUUCGAGGAUUUAAAAUGUUACACUCUAACUUACUAAGUGUGUCAAUUUAUUUCUUUGAAAUAAGUGAGUUUCAUCAUCCAAUUUAUUUUAUUCAAAUAUUCUUUUCCAAGGAUCGUAUUUUAAAAUCUUUUCAAAAUUUCGACAUUAAGACAUUAAACAAUCAAUUCGGUACCAAUUUUGGGCGUCACGAGGGUGCUAACCCUUCCUCGUGCGUAAUCGACUCUCGAACUUGUUUUCUCAAAAUUCGCAGACCUAAAAUUAUUUUCAAGGUGAUCCGAUUACACCACAAUAAAAUAUCGGUGGUGACUCCCAUUCCUAUUUUAAAAGUCGAUUCCCGUUUUUCAAAUAUAAAAAAAUGGUUUCGACACUACGGUUUUGUUUGUUUCACUUAGAACAACUUUCAAAAAGUUAAUUUUGAAAAAUGGAUUGAAUUUUCAAAAUAGAUGAUAUUUUAUUGUGUUAAAAUUUUAUUCGUUGUUUGAAAAAAAAAUUUAAAUCAUUUUCUUAGAAUUAUUUUUAGUGAAACAAAUAUAUCAUAAAUAUAUUUGUUAUAAAAUAUUAUAUUAAUAAUUUUUUUGACAAUUAAAAUAUAUUUUGUGAUAAGGUAAUAUUUUAUAAUAAUUAAUAUCAUAUAUACUUAAUAAUAAAUCAUGUCUAAUUAAAAUUUAAUUUCAAUUAAAUAUAUUAAUAAAGCUACAUUUAAUCAUAUUUUAUAUAAUUAAAAUAUUAAUAUAAAUAUUUUUCAAUAAUAUAUUAAAGAAUAUUUAAAAUUUAAAUUUAUUAUUACUAAGAUUAAUUAUUAAAAUAAAAAUGUACUAUUAAAUAAUUUAUCCAAUGAUAAGUUAUAUUGAUAAUUUAUUAUAUUAUUAAAUAUAAAUAAUUCAAUAUGUAUGUUUAAUAAUAUUAUGUUAUAAUAUUUAUUACUAAUAUUUUAAUAUUUUUAAACAACCAUAUUUUAAAGAUGGUGGUGAUGGUGAUGGUGCAGGCCCCCUUGUUACAAUUACAAUAUUUUUAAGUGGGAUGCAUGUAAUAUAUUGUUAGGGUUUUAGAGUGUGUCGUCUUUAAAAGGGUUAAAUUAUAUAUUUAUAUAAUAUGAUUAUUGUUUAUAAACAUAAUAUUGUAGAUAAGUUUAUAUGUAUGUCAAUAUGUAUCCUACUCUAGGGUUAAUAUGUAUUUUUUAGAUGUGGGUUCACCUAUAUAAUAGUAUGAAUCCAUCAUGCGGUCUCAUGAAAUAUACAAACACAUAUCGUGCUAACACAAAGUACGAACAAUAAAAAGUACAAAUCAAGACCCAAUUGAAUAAUUAAAUAACGGAUAGGUAAUAAUGAAUAUCAUAACAUUCACUAUCCCCUCUUUUCCAGUGAGUUAUUGUUUAUGAUAAAUUUGCAACAAAUGUUUUUAUCAUUAUUUUGUUGGUAAAUGAUAAUAAGCUUAAACUUUACUUUCUUAAGCUCCUUCAAUUCUUUGGACGUUAGCGAGUAAACUUGAGCUUCAGCAUUCCACAAACACCUUAAUUUGAAGACACAGUUCUCUCAUACUAAAAACGACAUGGACGUUUACCUUGUAAUUAGAGAUUUGGGCUCAUUGUUGGGUUAUUAAUGAUACAGGGAUGGAGAGCUUUAAACUGGGUAUGGCUGGCCCCAAAGAGGCUCGAAAGGUGCUUGAGACUAGAGGUGAUCAAGGGCCGGGUUAGGCCCGGUCUAGAAAAAAAUUUAGGCCCAUUUUUUAGGCCUGAAUUCGGCUCGGCUCAAAAUAUGAGCUUAAAAAUUUGUCUAAAUUCGGUCCGAAAGAAAAUUGUUAAGCCCAAGCCUGACCCAUAUUAAAUUUUACAACACCAAAAAAGUAUAUUUAAAUAAAAAUAAAAAAUAUAUAUUUAAUAUAUAAUUCGGGCCGGGCAGAACUCUGGCAAAAAAAAUUUUACUCGGGGCUGGUCUGUUUUCUAAACAGACUUCGUUUUUUUGCCAAAAUCUAUAUUUUAGGCAUAUAUUUUUACCCGAAUCUUCCUAUAUUUUGGGGUGAGCCGUCGGGCCAGACUGGGUAGCCGAACCAAUGAUCACCUCUACUUGAGACAACAGGGUUUUGCAGGGAAUUCUUACAGGUUCGUUUCUGGUGACAUAAAAGAGCUCUUCACUAUAAGCAUACAAACAAGAGCCAAAACUAUGCCUCUUAGUGAUGAUAUUGGGCCUUAUGUUGUUCCUUUUCAACAUCAAACCGUCAACCAGUAUGGUAUGUUUUUUUAUUUAAUCUGCAAUUUAUGAUAAUUCUUUGUUAUUUAUGUAUGGAAUUUAUUGGGAGGAAAUGCUGGAAAGAAUUCAUUUACAAGAAUUGGUCCAAGAUCAAGGGUGAACAUUACGGACCCUGAAAAAUAAGAGAAAUACUUAACAAAUUUAAUGACUUCCAGAAGGUACGUACCAAUCCACUGCUUAAUUUGCUUGUAAGCGGCCUCGUUAACCUCGAAGGAGACCGAUGGAGCAAGCAUAGAAAAAUCAUAACCCUUGCAUUUCAUCAAGAUAAGUUGAAGGUAUAGAAUAGUAAUGGGUACUCAAGACUUUAAAGAAAACAUCAUACUUAAGCCUAUGCUUUUCUGAUUUAGACAUAAUUGGAUGCAGAAUAUGUUGCCAGCAUUUUAUCAAAGUUGUAGUGACAUGUUUAAGCAAAUGGGAGAAGAUGGUGUGUACAGAAGGAUACAUUGAGUUAGAUGUGUGGCCUUAUCUCGUAGAUUUGACAAGAGAUGUGAUUUCCCGAUCUGCUUUUGGAAGCAGCUUCGAAGAAGGCAAACGAAUUUUCCAAUUACUAGAGGACCAACUCGUUGUUACAAUCAAAUUAAUACAAACUGUUUACAUUCCAGGAUGGAGGUAACCGUCUACUUAAUUUACUUGAAAAAGGUUGCAAAUGUUGGAAUUGGCUAAAUUCGUGUUUGUUUUCUUGAAGGUUUUUGCCCACAAAGACAAACAGGGAGGUGAAGAUGAAACACAAAGACAUAAAAGAGUCGCUCAGGGAAAUGAUAAAAAGAAGAGAGCAGGCAAUUAAAGCAGGGGAAGAGAGUAAUGAGGACUUGUUGGACAUACUUGUGGAAUCCAAUAUCAGAGAAAUGGAAGCAAAGAAUAUGGGGAUGAGCAUUGAGGAUGUGAUUGAGGAAUGCAAGCUGUUUUACUUUGCUGGCCAGGAGACCACUUCGGUCUUACUCGUGUGGACUAUGGUUUUAUUAGCAAGGUAUCCCGAUUGGCAAAGUAAAGCAAGAGAGGAGGUUUUGCAUGUUUUGGGUGACAGUAAACCUGAUGCUGAUGGCCUUAAUCGUCUCAAAGUUGUAAGUCCCUAUCAUGUCUCUUGAAGGCCCGAUCUCUGAGGUCGACAACUCAAAAACUUGGUUCUUUGUUUCGCUAAUUCUACAGUUAACAAUGAUAUUGUACGAGGUUCUAAGGCUGUACCCACCAGUGAUUGAGCUAGGACGUUCCGUUCCAAAAGAAAUAAAACUGGGAAAUUUGUUGUUACCAGCAGGAACAGACGUUUCGGUUCCAAUCCUGCAGAUCCACCAUGACAAAGAUCUUUGGGGCGACACCGCACGGGAAUUUAAGCCACAGCGGUUCACGGAAGGGGUUUCCUAAGCAACAAAGAGUCAAGUCACGUUUCUGCCAUUCGGAUGGGGUCCUAGGAUCUGCAUUGGCCAAAACUUUGCCAUGAUGGAAGCUAAAAUGGCGAUGGCUAUGAUUCUCCAACGCUUCUGGUUUGAGCUUUCCCCUUCCUAUGCUUACUCUCCUUACAACAUGGCAACUCUUCGUCCACAGCAUGGUGCACAGAUAAUUUUACAUAAACUUGGCUGUAAUUAAAUUGUUAUGUAAGCAAAUCUUUGUGAAAAUAUAGUGUUUUAGUGUAUCGUCAAAGUCUGUCUGUAAUGGUACAAUUCCGAUGCAUGAAUAGUAAAUUUUGAGAUGUUUGGUGAAGUCCGAAAUAAUAUGCAGAAAUUGAGUGUCUAUGGUGGACAUAGUUGAGGGACUAAUGUGGUAAUUAUCAAUCAAAUAAUUCGGUACAAAGACUUAUAUGGAAAUUAAAGCAGGGGGAGUUGAAAAUGACUACUCUGCUUUGGGCAUCAAUUUAGAAAGAUUUAAAGUACAAAUGUGUUAUUAGUUAAGGGAUUUGUUUUAAAGAGGGAAUGACAAUUAAACCUCAUGGUUGAUUUGUGGAAGGGAACCAAUGAUGGGAUGAUUACUCUUAGUGGUGAAAAAAAAACUAUUAAGGUGGUUAUUAUAGUUGUUAUCACCAGCCUAAAAUUUGAAUAGGUUCAGGUCGGAUUAUAUUGAGCAUGCAAGAUUAGUUCACGGACCAAACUUGUAUGAUAAUAGGUAUUCACAAAAAGAUAUCUAUAGUUUCCAACAAAGUCACAUGUGAGAUCGUGCAUUAGAACCGCAUAAACAUGUUUUAUGUUUAGAAUAUGAUAUGUGUCUAUGUGUAUAGAAUCUACCUAAUAUAUCAUAUUAAUGAAUAGUAUCAAUUGCGGAGCCAAAAAAUUAUUUGUGAGGGGUCAGAAUUAAAUUGUAUAUUUUUACAAAAAUAAAAAUUAAAUUUCACUAUUUUAAUAGUUUAUUUAUUUUUAAUUUUUAAAUGAUUAAAUUAAAUUUUAUAAAUUUUUAGGAUCAAAGUAUAAUUUUAUCAUUACUAAUUUAAAAUUUUAUAAAUUAUAAAAAGUUUAUAUGAAAAGUUUUCUAUUUUAGGGUGGCCAAAGCCCCUGCCAACUUCUGACUCGAUCACUUGCGGUUAGUUGGGUAAAGACUCAAGAAAAAUAGCGGUGUGUUUGGAUGGACAGUGUGUUUACUUGCGGUUAGUGUAAAAAUAGCAGUGGCGGUGAGAUUAGAUACUAUAGCAACACUGUAGCGUGAGACAAAAAGUAAGUUAAACGCACUGCACUGCACUUAAUCGUCUAUCUAAACUCACCAUAAGUGUCUAAAAUAUGAUUUAAGUGAAGAUACGUGGGGUAGGUGUCAUGGAAAUGUAAAAAAAAAAGAAUCCCACUAAUGUAUGGGAUGUGUACAAUUGAAUGCAGGAGUGAAUCAUUUGGGUAACAUUUGGACAAGAAACAUAAUGAACAAAAUGAAAGGAGAGGAAGCUAGUAAUAAAAGAUUCUUUUGGGUUAUAUAAUUUGUUUGGCAUAUAUUUUUAUAAUAUUUAAAUAUCAUUUUGGAGUUGUUGAAUUAUAAUUUCUUUUUAUGUUUUAAAACAUAGUUAUUCUAUUUUUAGAGGUCAGAGUAGAGGUGAGCAUGAGUCGGGCUACUCGGCUCGGGCCGAAGGCUUGCGCAAAAUGUGAGAGAUUUGGGUAAAAAUAUAGGCCCGAAAAAUGAGUUUAGACAAAAAAAAUAUAAGGCCCGUUGAAAAAACAGGCUAGGCCUUGGGUAAGGCAUUUUGGCCCCAGACCCGGCCCAACCCAAAUUCACUAAGGGCACGUUUGGUUCGCUGUAUUGGAAUAGAGGCGUAAUGUAAUAGAUGCGUAAUGGAAUAGAGACGUAAUAGCAAAUCAAUUGUUUGGUUGAAUGUAAUGGAAUAGAGGCGUAAUAGUAUUCUUAUAUUUGGUUGAAUGGAAUAGAGGUGUAACAGCAUAAGGAAAAAAGUUAAAAUGACUAGAAUACCCUUAGCAGAAAUUUGUUUAGAUAAAUGAUUAUUGUUAUUGUUAUUAAAUUUUAAUAAGAUUAUUAAUAUCAGUAAUAAAUAAUUUAAUCAUAUUUUAACAUAAUUAUUAUUAAAUAUAAUUUAAUAAAAAUAUAUAAUUUAAUAAAAUUCUUAAUAUUAAAUAAAAUUCUUAAUAUUAAAUAUUCUUAAUAUUAAAUUACUAAAAUCAUAAUAUAUAAUACUAUAAAAUAUAAUUUAAAUAAUUAUUAUUAAAUAUAAUUUAAUAAAAAUAUAUAAUUUAAUAAAAUUCUCAAUAUUAAAUAUAUUCUUAUAUGAAUUUACUAAAAUCAUAAUAUAUAAUACUAUAAAAUAUAAUUUAAAAUAAUUAUUAUUAAAUAUAAUUUAAUAAAAAAUAUAUAAUUUAAUCUAAAGUUUGAAUGUGUAUUUACCUAGCAAAAAUCAAUGAACUCUCGUGUAACUAUAACCUUAAUAAUAUAUGAUGUAUAAUUAAUAUUUCGUGACUAAUUAAUAGCAUAGAGAUAAAUACAGUAAUGACGAAUUUAUAGUAUACGAUUAAAAUGCUAAUAAUUUAUAGUAUACAAUUAAAAUAUUAUAAAUAAAAUAAUAGUAAAUGAUAUAUAAGAUAAAUUAACAUAUAAAUAAUUCAGAUAUGUAAAGAAUAUGGCUGAAUAUGGUUGCUCCAAUAAUAAAGGAUAUAUAAUAUAUCAUGGUGUUGUUUUGUUUAGAUAGUUCGGUAACUUAGGAGGGUAUGUAUGAAGAACACAAGUUGAUGCAGAUAGAAAGACGACAAUAUUACAUGAUUACAAUAUGAUAUAGUAUAUAUAUAUAAUUUAUGGAUUCCUUGCAAUCACGUGGCUUCUCUAGCCAUUUUAUUUAGCAUAUCCAGUGAUAUUAAGAUCCAGAAUUAUAAUACAACUAAAAUCUGUGCACACUUAUGGAUGAUCCAACAAAGCCUCAGUUGGCUUUAGGUUCCAAAUCUUGCAACCCACAAACCAUAUUUGCUGGCACUGCAACAUCAAUCAUCUUAGGAUAUGCCAAGUUAAGAUCUGUUGCACCAACAAAAACAGAGGAGAAAUUAGAAGGCGAUCCGAAAAAACCCAAGGAUGCUUUUUCUUUUCUUUUUUUUUAUAAUCUUUAUAGACUAGUUAUAUUGAGCAUCAACUUACUUUCCAUGAUGUUUUUGAAAGUCUCUUACAAAAAGGGUAUUCAACAAAUAAUAUAAUCAGACAUAUUGAUAGGACAAAUUGAAACUAGUAUUCUAUGAUCAUAAUAAAGAGUAAUCUUUAAUCAAAUGCGUGAAGGUAUUGAGAUGUCAUGCUUUUUCAUGAUUUCCUGUUUUACCAUGGCGAUGUUCAUUGGAAUAGUCCCAUCCAAGAGAAUCAAACCAAUGCUCAGCAAGAAAUGUUCAAUGCAUAUGUAAUUUUAAUUACAGAAGUUAUAUGCAGCUUAUAUGAGUUCAAGAUCAUAAAAGACUUCAUGGACAAAAGGAAACCCUUUCUUAUCACUGAAAUGAAAAUAGGCACUCUUAAUUUUCUAUUGUCAAAAGUAGCAAGCCAUUUUCCAAAGAAAAGGGAAGAUGGAUGGUUCCAGAAAGAAUACCUCAUCCUUUGUCAAGUGUGGAUUAUAUAGCAUCUCCUCUCCCACAGUGGUUACCNNNNNNNNNNNNNNNNNNNNNNNNNNNNNNNNNNNNNNNNNNNNNNNNNNNNNNNNNNNNNNNNNNNNNNNNNNNNNNNNNNNNNNNNNNNNNNNNNNNNAAAUCGAGCAAUCAUUUAUAUAUGUAAGAAAUGAUAGGAAUAAAGUUUUAUAUCUUACUGAGAAUCCUUUGUAGUCAUGAGUUGGAUAUAGCAAUGUCUCUUUCGGUAAUGUAAAAAUCUGGAUCCAUGAAACAAAUAAGUCCAUAAAUUUUAUUCAAAUUUUGACAAUUACAAUAAAAUUUUGAGAACUCAAAGAAUGUGACCAUAAAAAGUCCCCUGUCCUUACCUGUGAAUGCACUGACUUGUAGAGUUGCUGUGAACUUCCACCCUGCAAAAUGCAUUAAUCAGUGCUAGUCAAUGGCUACUGAAUGUGGGAGCAUUAGAGAAAAUUAUCUUAAAAACUUAAGUAUAACAAAAUUAGACAAUGACAUCCAGAUGGAAAGAAAUUGCCAGCAUAUAAGACCAGCAUUUAUGUACUCACGACUGAAAAUCCUUUGCAAAAAGUAUAGCCCUGAUAGUUCAAACUUUUACUUCAAGGAUGAUUUAAUUACUGAUUAGUUUACCAUGAGGCUUGUGAAUGACAAACACUUUAUGUGCAACCACAGUAACAAGGUAAGCACCAAUAAGUAGAAAACUAGACGAAUAGGUAACCAAGAGUUAGAGCUAAAACAGACAAACAGAGCUACUAUCCAAUGAGCUAAAACAUACAAACAGAGGUAUAUUUUAACAAUGAAAAUAAUCGAUUGCCUUAAACACCAUAUAGUGUUCCAAUCAAUCAAAUUAUAGCAGGCAUUAAAACCUUUCCCUUUCGUUAAUUCACAACUAUUAGCUUCAUUAAUCAAAUCCUAUGUACAGUUGAUCGAUUGAAAGUGUAACAUUUCAAAGACGAAAUUUAAACACAAAACUGGUUAACAUUGAAAUUACAUGUAAAUAUAACCUAAAAAACCAAAAAAUUAAUCAUAUUUUCAGAUUUCAGGCCGAAAUGGAAUGAAAUGAAAGGUAAAUCCAUUUUUUCCUCAAAAAAACAAAAAUAAAGAAAUAAUAUUUCAAGAACAGAUCAUUAAAUUCAUGGUAUAUAUAAAGAAAUUUAAUUGAAAUCAAAGGAAUAGAAGAAGGGAAAAGCGUACUUGGAACCAUUGCUGCUACUCUCUGUUACUCUGUUACCUCAUACGAUUCGUUAAAGGGUUGUUAGGGUUUGUUAAAGGGUUGGUCAGGAUAGAAGCAUGAAAAGGAGGGAGAAGGUUGGAAGGAAAUGGGAAGAAAAAUGAAAAAAAGAAGAAGAUGCUGCAACGGCUUGGAGGGUAAAAGAGGACCGAUUAGGUAAUCCUUUCUUUUCGAAGGGAUUACAAAUCGGCGCUGCAUAAGGGAAAAUGGGGAAUCGGUGCGCUGCGUAAUAGGCCCGUAUUAAGGCAAUACAGCCAACCAAACAGGGUAAUCAGUGGGGCCACGGAUUAGGGGUGUAUUGGCUAAUCCAAUACACCCAACCAAACAUGCUCUAAAGGACAAAAAAAUUUGAUUUUUUAAAUAUUAUUUUCUCUCUAUUUUGCUAUCAUUUUACUAUUAUGUUGCUACUAUGUUAUUGUUAUUUUUGGAUAUUGUAUAAAACUUAUUUUAUUGUUAAUUUUGUUAUUAUUUUAAAGACAUUUGUUAAUUUUGUUAUUAUUUUAGAGACAUUUGCUUGUUAAGUUGCAUCUAUCUUAGUGUUAUUUAAGUAUACAUAUUUUUUAAAAUUUAUUUUCAAUUUAUUGGGAAAUAUUUAUUUUGAUGUUUUUAGUAUUUUGGGUGUAUUAUAUAUAUUAAAAUUAUAUAAAAAUUAAUAUGGCCGAGCCGAGUCAGGUCCAGAUUUUAGCAUUUUUAUUCAGGUCGGGCUUGAGCAAAAUUUUAAGCCCAUUUUUUGGGCCAAACCAGGCCUGGGCUUAGCAAAUGGGCCUAAAUUUUUAGUCAAGCCCGACCUAAACCCGAUCCGGCCCAUGCUCACCUCUAGAUCAGAGCUGCCCUCGCUUUGCAUUUCUUUGAGAUUCAGUCUUAUCUACUGUUGAUUGCCCACUCAAUUGAGGGUUGAGUAGAAAGAUUUGGUGAAGCAAGCUAAGCUAUCAAUCAAGGUUGGAGAAAGCUUAGGAGGUCACAAUGCAUAAUUAUUUAAAUGUAAUUCUAAUAUUUAAAUAAAAUUUAUUAAUAUAGUAUUAACAAGCCCUAAAUGUAAUGAUUAUAUACUAUUACAUUUUUAAGAAGAGAAAACAUGUUUGAACCUUAAAAACAUCAUUAUUAAAAAUGAUAAUUAAAAAUUUUAAAAUAUAAAAAAUAUAAUUAAAAAUUAAUUUUAAACCCGAGCUGGAUAAAAUUCUAAUUUUAGAUAACGAUACUAAUAAGAAAUCAAUAUUAAAAUGAAAAUGAAAAGUAAUUUAAUAUAAUUUUUGAGUCUUGGGCAAAGGCACUCAAUGAAUGCUUGGAAAGAAAUAAUGCAACUUGGUGAUAGCUUUUGUUGGAGUAAUAUGCUCUUAUUAUAGUUUUAUGUUUUUAUCUUGCAAAAACAACAUAUUGGAGUUUUCGGCAUGAUUUUUUCUUAAUACUUUACAUGAAAAAUAAUAAUGGGACUUAAAAAUCUAUCAAAAGCUUCACCAUAAUAAUAAUAAUAAUAAUAAUAAUAAUAAUAAUAAUAAUAAUAAUAAUAAAUUGCUACAAUAUUACAACACAAAGUUACAAUAAGAGCUUAUAACUCAACAAAGGCUAUCAAUAAAUAAUCUCAGGCAAGCUAAAGAGAAAUGUUGAGAAUACCACCCGAAUAGUGACUGACUUUAAAAGUUGAAAACCCAAAGCUAUAGUAUCUCAAACUAAAUCAAACCAUAAACAUUAAAAUUUUCAAGUCUACUAGCUACUGUAAAAAAUACAGCUCCAACAGACACCAAAUGAGUCUUUGAUCGAAGAAAGUACAAAAACUAGUCUGGGUAAACCAAGCUGCCAAACUUACUUAUCUUAUCUUUAAUUUUGCAGUGAAAUUAAAAACUAAGUUUUUGUUUAUUUCACUUGGAACAACUUUCAAAAAAUUAUUUUUGAAAAAUGGAUUGGUUUUUCGAAAUAAAUGAUAUUUUAUUGUGUUAAAAUUUUAUUCGUUGUUGGAAAACUUUUUUUAAAUCAUUUUCUUAAAGUUAUUUUUAGUGAAACAAACAUAACAUAAAUAUAUUUGUUACAAAAAAUUAUACUAGUAAUUUCUUUUGACAAUUAAAAUUUAUUUUAUGGUAAGACAAUAUUUUAUAAUAAUUAAUAUCAUAUAUAUACGUAAUAAAAAUCAUGUUUAAUUAAAAUUUAAUUAAAAUUAGAUGUAUUAAUAAAGCUACUCCUCCACAACCCGCAUCCGCAACAGCACCAGCACCAGCACCAGCACCAGCAUCAGCACCAUGGGACAACUAUUGGGUUUCCUCCACCUGCCUCUAUCGCUCCUCCUCAGUAUUACCCCUAAGCCUACCAGACCGUGCCGGGUAUUCUACAAAUAUGAAAAAACCUUCUUCUCUUUUUAUUAGCUUAUCGAAAUGAAGGAUUUUGAGAUUUGGGCUUUUGUUAGAUGGAUGGUUAAUGAUAUUUUUUAGAUGAAAGAUACAAGUUUUUUAAUGUUUUAGAAGAAAAGGUGUUUAAAUAUUAGGAGUUUUUUAGCAGAGAAAGAAGAUAAAUAAAUGCAUAGAGAUACAUUAGCAAUAUUAUUUGGAUUUGGUUGUCUAAUGUAAUGAAGAAUUUUUUAAGGGUGACCUGAGUAGGUGUGGCAAGAUUCAAAGUUUUUUCUAUUAUAGCAGAUAUAUAUAUAUUAAUGGUUUAAGAAGACUAGAAGUCGGUUUCAAAGGAAGAUGAGAAAUAAAAGCAUUUAUAUAUAUGAUAUGUCAUUAAUUCAUAAACCAAAUAUAUAAAGUAUGUAAAAGUGUCAGGGGUUAAUCAUGGUGUUUUGACAAUCCGGUAACCUUCAACUUGAAGAAAACCUUAGGUUUCAAAAAUUUAUGUGAAGAGUUAGAAUGGUAUGCUUCAUGGAUCUGAAUAACUAGAACAGUGUAAGAGUGGUAUAUUGUGUCAAGUUUGGUUUCUUGUAUAUAAUUGUAUCGAAAACAAUGUUACAUGAGUUAAAAUGAAUGUUCAUCCAAUUUAACAAAGCCUGCAUUAUGUUGAUCAAAAUUUUUAAUUCAUGUUGAGGUUUCUUCCGUGAUAUCUUUGAUGUCAAGGUUAUGAUGUUGCUGAAGGGACACCUGUAAGAGAUAAGCUACGGUGCUGUGGCAUUGGAUUCGGAUGGUUCUUGUAAGUGUACAUAGUUUUCUUUGUUUUUAAAGAGUUCUUUACAUAUGAAGUAAAACAAGUAGCGACUUGAUGGAUAUGUCAUUAAGCUUUAACUUAAGCAAAUCAUUUUCCUUCAUCUCUAAUUGCCAUUUCUUUAAAAGAAAAAGAGGAAGUUUUGUAGUUUACAGUUUGGACAAAUGGAAGUUAAUAUAAUGCACUAUUUGGAUGGACUAUGGAGAUAUCCAAUCAUAUUGGAUGAGUUAUAAGAAACCUGUGAGUUCAUAUUGGGUUUACUUUAUAUCAUAAUUAGAUUGUUGAGCUGGCUGUCAGACUUAGAUGGUAUUUCACGUUGCUACAUGUUAAACUAUACCACUUUCACAUUCAUACGUGAAAUGGCUGGGAUUUAGUGCCAUUCUACUUAGCAGCCUCGUGUAAUACACAGGUGAAAUGUUUAUGUCUUCAUGUCACCUUAAAGUUCCCAUUUCCAUGACGGUAUUGUUAAGUAAAGACUGGUACAUACCCCAAAAUACGGAAAUUGUUUUGGAUGUAUACUAUACUUUACCAUGCAUGAUUUUUUACAAGUUUGCAUGGUAUUUUAUCAUUAUAUUGGUCUUUAUUUUCUAUACUCGCAGCUUCCAUUAAUAUAUUUUUAUGAAUUUUAUCAUUAUGCUGGUUUGAAGGUUCAUCAUUGGUUUCUUCAUUGGGGGCCAUCCCUGGUAUAUUGGAUUCUUUGUUUUACUUUGUGCAAGGAUAGACGACAGAGAGAAAGCAGGAUAUAUUGCAUGCACAAUUGCCGUGAGUAUCUUUUCUAUCAUUAUUUUUUUCUUUUCCAAUUUUAUGAAAGCCAUCCUUCCUGCCUUGUAUUGAUCAUCAAUUUAACCAUUGUAUAUAUGUAUCUUAUGUAUUUGUACCAUGCUUUAUCUUCAAUGCAAAUAUAAGUUAAACUACAAAGAUUGGAUUGUUAAAAAAAGUUUAAAAUGUUAAAAAAAUUGAAAAUUUUGAUUUUGUAAGAAUGAUAGAAAACCAAGGCCAGUGCUUGCAUAUGUUAUCUACUACAUGCACAAUCGGGUCGAUGUCUGUAUAUGUUUCAUGUUUAGAAAUCGUGUUCAAUUGGGUUACGAUAUGUACAAUUGAAGUGUCAAUUUAUAAUUUCCUUAUCAAGAUUACACAUUUUUUUGUUAAUAUUCGGAAUCACUCAAUGGUUAUAAACCCUGAUUGGAUACUGUCCACAAAGUCUAGUUGGAACAUCCCUUGUAUUCUUUGUCCUUUCUAAGAACUUUCCUUUCCAUCAUUCUCGCUUCUGUUUUUUUUUUCUUCCCUCUACUUUAAGUCAUUAUCUAACGUAGAUAUCCCUUGUAUUCUUUGUCCUUUCUAUGGCAAUCGAGUCAAUUGAUGGCAAGCCAAAAAAACAAAAAGAACAGCUAUCCUGUCUUACUCGAUUGCCAUCCCUCCUGUUAAACACCAUUAAGAAAAGGAAAAUUUUAGUUAAGCUUUAAAACAGCCAUGUUUUAACGAUGUUGGUGAUGGUGCUUGUGCAGGCCCUUCUUGCUACAAUUACAAUUAUUCUUAGUGCAACAAUUAAAGCUGGUGGGUGAUAAAGCACACCUCUUUUGACUGAGAGAUGUAUAGGUUCCCAAAUAAUAUGUAUAUGCUCCCCCCCCCCUCCCUUUAUUUUAUUUUAUUUCCAGUAAGUUAUUGUUUAUGAUAAUUUGCAACAAAUGUUUUUGUCAUUAUUUUGUUGGUGAAUGAUAAUAAGAUUAAGCUUUACUUUCUUAAGCUCCAAUUCCUUGGACGUUGGUGAUUUUUUUAUUAUAGUUGAGUCCUUGUAUGGUAUUAAUAUAAUUUAUGUCGCUUAAAAUUUAUAACUAAAAAUAUAAAAUUUAAAUUUUACUUCAAUUUAUUUGUAUUUAUAAAUGGUUAAUUCAAACUUAUUUUUUUCCUCAUUAUAUUUUAUAUUUAAAUUAACAUUUAAACUAUUUUUCAUUAGCAAUGUUGUUAAGAAUUAUAUUUUUUAGCACCAACAUCAAACUUACUAAAAUUAAAUUUUUAACUAUUUUAAAAAAAAUAUUUUUAGCUAUUUAUCAUCAUAGAGAAAAAAAGGUGACGUCACCACGCCUCAUGCUUCGACACCACAAACUAGACUCUCAUCACCUGUAUUUAUCAUCGAUUCAAAUUCCAGAACUACCUAAAAAUAUAUCUUCAAACUUCCUCUGGUUAAGUUCAUUGAUAGUCAACUUACUAUUAUUUCUAAAAAAAAAAACAAAUAAAUUGGUUAAUAGUAAUCUCAAUGAUUCAAUUUUAUUCUUACCAAUAUCUGUCCUUUAGAAAGGGGCUUAUAAAAGGGAUAGAGGUGAGUAAACUUGAGCUUCAGCUUUCCACAAACACCUUAAUUUGAAGACACAGUUCUCUCAUACUAAAAAAGACAUGGAAGUUUACCUUGUAAUUAGAGAUUUGGUUUCAUUGCUUGUUGUUGGGUUAUUAAUGAUAUGGGGAUGCAGAACUUUAAACUGGGUAUGGCUGGCCCCAAAAAGGCUCGAAAGCUGCUUGAGACAACAGGGUUUUGCAGGGAAUCCUUACAGGUUCCUUUCUGGUGACAUAAAAGAGCUCUCAACUAUGAGCAGACAAACAAGAGCCAAACCUAUGCCUCUUAGUGAUGAUAUUGGGCCUUAUGUUGUUCCUUUUCAACAUCAAACUGCUAACCAGUAUGGUAUGCUUUUUUUGUUUAAUCUGCAAUUUAUGAUAAUUCUUUGUUAUUUAUGUAUGGAAUUUAUUGGGAGGAAAUGCAGGAAAGAAUUCAUUUACGUGGUUUGGUCCAAGACCAAGGGUGAACAUUACGGACCCUGAAAAAAUAAGAGAAAUACUUAACAAAUUUAAUGACUUCCAGAAGAUACAUACCAAUCCACUGCUUAAUUUGCUUGUAAGCGGCCUUGCUAACCUCGACGGAGACCGAUGGAGCAAGCGUAGAAAAAUCAUAAACCCUGCAUUUCAUCAAGAUAAGUUGAAGGUAUAGAAUAGUGAUGGGUAAUCAGACUUUACAGAAAACAUCAUACUUAAACCUAUGCUUUCCUGAUUUAGAAAUAAUUGGAUGCAGAAUAUGUUGCCAGCAUUUUAUCAAAGUUGUAGUGACAUGUUAAGCAAAUGGGAGAAGAUGGUGUGUACAAAAGGAUACAGUGAGUUAGAUGUGUGGCCUUAUCUCGUAGAUUUGACAAGAGAUGUGAUUUCCCGAUCUGCUUUUGGAAGCAGCUUCGAAGAAGGCAAACGAAUUUUCCAAUUACUAGAGGACCAACUCGUUCACAUAAUCAAAUUAAUACAAACUGUUUACAUUCCAGGAUGGAGGUAACCCUCAACUUAAUUUACUUGAAAAAGGUUGCAAAUGUUGGAAUUGGCUAAAUUCGUGUUUGUUUUCUUGAAGGUUUUCGCCAACGAAGACAAACAGGGAGAUGAAGAUGAAACACAGGGACAUAAAAGAGUUGCUUAUGGAAAUGAUAAAGAGAAGGGAGAAGGCAAUUAAAGCAGGGGAAGAGAGCAAUGAGGACUUGUUGGACAUACUUGUGGAAUCCAAUAUCAGAGAAAUGGAAGCAAAGAAUAUGGGGAUGAGCAUUGAGGAUGUGAUUGAGGAAUGCAAGCUGUUUUACUUAGCUGGCCAAGAGACCACUUCGGUCUUACUGGUGUGGACUAUGGUUUUAUUAGCAAGGUAUCCCGAUUGGCAAAGUAAAGCAAGAGAGGAGGUUUUGCAUGUUUUGGGUGACAGUAAACCUGACGCUGAUGGCCUUAAUCGUCUCAAAGUUGUAAGUCCCUAGCAUGUCUUUUGAAGGUCCGAUCAAUGAGGUCGACAACUCAAAAACUUUGUUUCUUUUUUCGCUAAUUCUACAGGUAACAAUGAUAUUGUACGAGGUUCUAAGGCUGUACCCACCGGUGGUUGAGCUAGAACGUUCCGUUCCAAAAGAAAUAAAACUGGGGAAUUUGUUGUUACCAGUAGGAACAGAAGUUUCGGUUCCGAUCCUGCUGAUCCACCAUGACAAAGAUCUUUGGGGCGAUGACGCACGGGAAUUUAAGCCAGAGCGGUUCGCGGAAGGGGUUUCCAAAGCAACAAAGAGUCAAGUCACGUUUCUGCCAUUCGGAUGGGGUCCUAGGAUCUGUAUUGGCCAAAAUUUUGCUAUGAUGGAAGCCAAAAUGGCGAUGGCUAUGAUUCUCCAACGCUUCUGGUUCGAGCUUUCCCCUUCCUAUGCUCACUCUCCUUACGGCAGGGCAACUCUUCGUCCACAGCAUGGUGCACAGAUAAUUUUACAUAAACUUGGCUGUAAUUGAAUUGUUAUGUAAACAAAUCUUUGUGAAAACAUAGCGUUUUAGUUUAUCGUCAAAGUCCGGUGUCUGUAAUGGUACAAAUUCGAUGCAUGAAUAGUAAAGUUUGAGAUGUUUGGUGAAGUCCGAAAUAAUAUGCAGAAAUUGAGUGUGGUAAUUAUCAAUCAAAUAAUUCGGUACAAAGACUUAUAUGGAAAUUAAAGCAGGGGGAGUUGAAAAUGACUACUCUGCUUUGGGCAUCAAUUUAGAAAGAUUUAAAGUACAAAUGUGUUAUUAGUUAAGGGAUUUGUUUUAAAGAGGGAAUGACAAUUAAACCUCAUGGUUGAUUUGUGGAAGGGAACCGAUGAUGGGAUGAUUAUUCUUAGUGGUAAAAAAAACUAUUGUGGAGGUUAUUAUACUUGUUAUCAUCGGCUUAAAAUUCGAAUGGGUUCAAGUCGGAUUAUAUCGAGCUUGUAAGAUGAGUUCACGGAUCAAGUUUGCAUAAUAAAAAUACUUAAAUGAAAAAAUUUCUAUUUUAGAGGGACCAGAGCCCCUACCAACUCCCGGCUCAGCUACUAAACAAUACCCAUAUCAUAUAAAUAAAUACCACAUAAAAAAAACUCAAAGAAAAACACUGACAAAUGAUAAAUAGAUAGAUGUUGGAUAAGUGUCCAAAAUAUGAUUUAAGUGAAGAUACAUGGGGUAGGUGUCACGGAAAUGUGAAUACAAGAAUACUACUAAUGGGAUGUGUACAGUUGAAUGUAGGGAGCAAAAAGAGGAGUGAAUCAUUUUGGUAACAUUGGGACAAGAAACAUAAUGAACAAAAUGGAAGCAGAGGAAGCUAGUAAAAGAAAUUUUUUGGGUCAUAUAAUUUGUUUGGCAUAUAUUUUUAUAAUUUUUAAAUAUCAUUUUGGACUUGAAUUAUAAUUUUUUUAUAUAUUAUCUUAAAAUUGUAUAAAUUUUAAGGAGUUAAAACAAAAUUAUUCUAUUUUUAGAUGGUUAAAGUAGAGAUGAUAAUGGGUUGAGCUAUUCGGCCCAGCCUGACGAUCCACCCGAAAAAUAGGAAGGUUUGGGUAAAAAUAUAGGCUCGAAAUAUGAAUUUGAGCAAAAAAAGAGGCCCGUUUAGAAAAUAGGCCGGGCCUCAGGUAAAACCUUUUGGGCCCAGACCUGACCUAAAUUAUAUAUUAAAUAUAUAUAUUUUUAUUUUUAAUCAAAUAUACUUUUGUUUUAUUAUUAAUUUGGUUAUUAUUUUAGUUCUAAUUUGUUUCAAUUUUAAUAUAACUACUUUUUAUUAUAUUUUCAAUUUGUGUAUUGUUUUAAGAAUUAUUUUAGUCUCAUUAUUUAUUUAUUUUUUAUUUUAAUAUUUGUUUUAAAAUUUUUUAUUUAUUGAAAUAAGCUAAAAAAAUUAAUAUGGGUUGGACCAGACCGGGCUCGGGCCUAGUAAUUUUCUUUUGGGCCGGACUUAAACAAAUUUUUAAGCCCAUAUUUUGAAUUGGGUCCUACACUAGAAAAUGGACCUAAAAUUUUGUAUUACCUUUAGGUCAGAGCUAUCCUCGUUUUGCAUUUCUUUGAGAUUCAGCCUUAUUUACUUUUGAUUGCCACUCAAUAGAGGGUUGAGUAGAAAUAUUUGGUGAAGCAAGCUAAGCUAUCAAUCAAGGUGUGCAUAAUUAUUUAAAUGUAAUUCUAAUAUUAAAAUAAAAUUUUUAUUAAUAUAGUAUCAACAAGCAUUAAAUGUAAUCAUCAUAUACUAUUAAAUUUUCAAUAAGAGAAAACAUGCUUGAACUUUAAAAACGAUGUUACUAAAAACAUUAUCACAAAUCUUGAAAUAUAAAAAAUAUUUUUUAAUAUAAUAAAAAAUAAUUUUAAACCCGAGAUGAAUAAAAUUCUAAUUUUAAUUAAUGAUACCAACAACAAAUCAAUAUUUAAAUUAAAAUUUAUCUUAAUUUAAUAUAAUAAAAUUGGACCUGAAUAUUGAAUUUUUGAGUCUUGGGCAAAGUAGAGGUGCUCAUGGGCCGGGCUGGGUCGGGUUUGGGAAAAAUUUCGGCCCGCAUCCUAGGCUCGGGCUCGGCCCGACCCAAAUAUGGGCCUAAAAUUUUGUCUAGGCCUAGCCCGACCCGGCCCGACUUAUUUUUUUUAAUAAACACCAACAAUUUAUUUUGAAAAUAAAAAAAUAAAAAAAGUAUUUUAAAAAUAUUUUAAAAUUUUUAAAAAAUAUAUAUAUUUAUUAUAUAUUCGGGCCGGGCCAGGCCCGAGCCAAAAAAGUGGCGCCCAAGGCCCGGCCUGUUUUCUAAACGGGACUCAUUUUUUACCCAAACCCAUAUUUCGGGCCUAUAUUUCUACCCGAAUCUCUCAUAUUUCGGGCGAACCGUCGGGCCAGACCGGGCCGCCCGGCCAUGAACACCUCUAGGACAAAGUCACUCAAUGAAUGCAUGGAAAGAAAUAAUGCAACUUGGUGAUAGCUUUUGUUGGAGUUAUAUGCUUUUUUUUUACGUAGUGGAACUUUCGGUGGAUUUUCAAGUUUCAUGAACUUUAUACCCUAUGCUUUACGUGAAAAAAAAUCAUUGGACUUAAAAGUCUGCCAAAAGUUUCACUAUAAUAAAUAAAUAAAUAACAUUGCUACAAGACUUCAACAUAAAGUUACAAUAAGAGCUUAUAACUCAACAAAGGCUAUCAAUAAAUAAUCUCAAACAAAUUAAAGAGAAAUGUUGAGAGUACCACUCGAAUAGUGAUUAACUUUAAAAAUUGAAAACCCAAAGUUAUAAUAUCCCAAACGAAAUCAAACCAUAAACAUUAAAUUUUUCGAGUCUACUAGAUACUGCAAAAAAUUCAGCUCCAACAGACACCAAAUGAACCUAUGAUCGAAGAAAAUACGAAAAUUAGUCUAGCUAAAUCAAGCUGCCAAACUUACUUUUUAUCUUAUCUUUAAUUUGCUGUGAAAUUCAAAACUAAGGUUUUGUACUUAGAACAACUUUCAAAAAGUUAAUUUUGAAAAAUGGAUUGAAUUUUCAAAAUAGAUGAUAUUUUAUUGUGUUAAAAUUUUAUUCGUUGUUUGAAAAAAAAUUUAAAUCAUUUUCUUAGAAUUAUUUUUAGUGAAACAAACAUAUCAUAAAUAUAUUUGUUAUAAAAUAUUUAUAUUAAUAUUUUCUUUUAACAAUUAAAAUAUAUUUUGUGAUAAGGUAUAUUUUAUAAUAAUUAAUAUCAUAUAUACUUAAUAAUAAAUCAUGUCUAAUUAAAAUUUAAUUUCAAUUAAAUAUAUUAAUAAAGCUACAUAUAAUCAUAUUUUAUAUAAUAAAAAUAUUAAUAUAAAUAUUUUUUUAAUAAUAUAUUAAAGAAUAUUUAAAAUUUAAAUUUAUUAUUACUAAGAUUAAUUAUUAAAAUAAAAAUGUAAUAUUAAAUAAUUUAUCCAAUGAUAAGUUAUAUUAAUAAUUUAUUAUAUUAUUAAAUAUAAAUAAUUAAAUAUGUAUGUUUAAUAAUAUUAUGUUAUAAUAUUUAUUAUUAAUAUUUUAAUAUUUUUAAACAACCAUGUUUUAAAGAUGGUGGUGAUGCUGAUGGUGCAGGCCCCCUUGUUACAAUUACAAUAUUUUUAAGUGGGAUGCAUGUAAUAUAUUGUUAGGGUUCUAGAGUGUGUCAUCUUUAAAAGGGUUAAAUUAUAUAUUUAUAUAAUAUGAUUAUUGUUUAUAAACAUAAUAUUGUAGAUAAACUUUUAUGCAUGUCAAUAUGUAUCCUACUCUGGGGUUAAUAUGUAUUUUUAGAUAUGGAUUCACCUAUAUAAUAGUAUGAAUCCAUCAUGCGGUCUCAUGAAAUAUACAAACACAUAUCGUGCGAACACAAAGUACGAACAAUAAAAAGUACAAAUCAAGACCAAUUGAGUAAUUGAAUAACAGAUAGGUAAUAAUGACUAUCCCCUCUUGUUUGAAUUUAUUUUAUUUCCAGUGAGUUAUCGUUUAUGAUAAAUUUACAACAAAUGUUUUUAUCAUUAUUUUGUUGGUAAAUGAUAAUAAGAUUAAACUUUACUUUCUUAAGCUCCUUCAAUUCUUUGGACGUUAGCAAGUAAACUUGAGCUUCAGCAUUCCACAAACACCUUAAUUUGAAGACACAGUUCUCCCAUACUAAAAACAACAUGGACGUUUACCUUGUAAUUAAUGAUACGGGGAUGGAGAGCUUUAAACUGGGUAUGGCUGGCCCCAAAGAGGCUCGAAACGUGCUUGAGACUAGAGGUCCAGGCAAAUUUUUAGGCCCAUUUUUUAGGCUUGGACUGGGCCCGACUCGAAAUAUGAGCUUAAAAAUUUGUCUAAGUUCGGUCCAAAAGAAAAUUGUUAAGCCUAAGCCUGGCCCAUAUUAAAUUUUACAACACCAAAAAACUAUAUAUUUAAUAUAUAUAUUUGAUUAAAAAGUAUAUUUAAUUAAAAAUAAAAAUAUAUAUUUAAUAUAUAAUUCGGGCCGGGCCGAACUCGGGCCAAAAAAGUUUUACUCGGGGCUGGUCCGUUUUCUAAACAGACCUCGUUUCUUUGUCAAAAUCCAUAUUUUAGGCUUAUAUUUUUACCCGAAACUUCCUAUUUUUCGGGUGAGCCGUCAGGCCGGACUGGGUAGCCCAACCAAUGAUCACCUCUACUUGAGACAACAGGGUUUUGCAGGGAAUUCUUACAGGUUCGUUUCUGGCGACAUAAAAGAGCUCUUCACUAUAAGCAUACAAACAAGAGCCAAACCUAUGCCUCUUAGUGAUGAUAUUGGGCCUUAUGUUGUUCCUUUUCAACAUCAAACCGUCAACCAGUAUGGUAUGUUUUUUAAUUUAAUCUACAAUUUAUGAUAAUUCUUUGCUAUUUAUGUAUGGAAUUUAUUGGGAGGAAAUGCUGGGAAGAAUUCAUUUACGUGGAUUGGUCCAAGAUCAAGGGUGAACAUUACGGACCCUGAAAAAUAAGAGAAAUACUUAACAAAUUUAAUGAGAUCCAGAAGGUACGUACCAAUCCACUGCUUAAUUUGCUUGUAAGCGGCCUUGUUAACCUCGAAGGAGACCGAUGGAGCAAGCAUAGAAAAAUCAUAACCCUUCAUUUCAUCAAGAUAAGUUGAAGGUAUAGAAUAGUGAUGGGUACUUAAGACUUAAUUUACAGAAAACAUCAUACUUAAAUCUAUGCUUUUCUGAUUUAGAAAUGAUUGGAUGCAGAAUAUGUUGCCAGCAUUUUAUCAAAGUUGUUGUGACAUGUUAAGCAAAUGGGAGAAGAUGGUGUGUACAGAAGGAUACAGUGAGUUAGAUGUGUGGCCUUAUCUUGUAGAUUUGACAAGAGAUGUGAUUUCCCGAUCUGCUUUUGGAAGCAGCUUCGAAGAAGGCAGACGAAUUUUCCAAUUACUAGAGGACCAACUCGUUCUCACAAUCAAAUUAAUACAAACUGUUUACAUUCCAGGAUGGAGGUAACCCUCAACUUAAUUUACUUGAAAAAGGUUGCAAAUGUUGGAAUUCGCUAAAUUCGUGUUUGUUUUCUUGAAGGUUUUUGCCAACAAAGACAAACAGGGAGAUGAAGAUGAAACACAGACAUAAAAGAGUCGCUUAGGGAAAUGAUAAAGAGAAGGGAGAAGGCAAUUAAAGCAGGGGAAGAGAGCAAUGAGGACUUGUUGGACAUACUUGUGGAAUCCAAUAUCAGAGAAAUGGAAGCAAAGAAUAUGGGGAUGAGCAUUGAGGAUGUGAUUGAGGAAUGCAAGCUGUUUUACUUUGCUGACCAAAAGACCACUUCGGUCUUGCUGGUGUGGACUAUGGUUUUAUUAGCAAGGUAUCCCGAUUGGCAAAGUAAAGCAAGAGAGGAGGUUUUGCAUGUUUUGGGUGACAGUAAACCUGAUGCUGAUGGCCUUAAUCGUCUCAAAGUUGUAAGUCCCUAGCAUGUCUCUUGAAGGCCCGAUCUCUGAGGUCGACAACUCAAAAACUUGGUUUCUUUGUUUCGCUAAUUCUACAGUUAACAAUGAUAUUGUACGAGGUUCUAAGGCUGUACCCACCAGUGAUUGAGCUAGGACGUUCCGUUCCAAAAGAAAUAAAACUGGGAAAUUUGUUGUUACCAGCAGGAACAGACGUUUCGGUUCCAAUCCUGCAGAUCCACCAUGACAAAGAUCUUUGAGGCGACGACGCACGGGAAUUUAAGCCACAGCGGUUCACGGAAGGGGUUUCCUAAGCAACAAAGAGUCAAGUCACGUUUCUGCCAUUCGGAUGGGGUCCUAGGAUCUGCAUUGGCCAAAACUUUGCCAUGAUGGGAACCAAAAUGACGAUGGCUAUGAUUCUCCAACGCUUCUGGUUCGAGCUUUCCUCUUCCUAUGCUUACUCUCCUUACAACAUGGCAACUCUUCGUCCACAGCAUGGUGCACAGAUAAUUUUACAAAAACUUGGCUGUAAUUGAAUUGUUAUGUAAACAAAUCUUUGUGAAAAUAUAGUGUUUUAGUGUAUCGUCAAAGUCUGCCUGUAAUGGUACAAUUCCGAUGCAUGAAUAGUAAAUCUUGAGAUGUUUGGUGAAGUCCGAAAUAAUAUGCAGAAAUUGAGUGUCUUGAAUGGAUGUAGUAUUUAAUGGUGGACAUAGUUGAGGGACUAAUGUGGUAAUUAUCAAACAAAUAAUUGCAUAUGGUACAAAGACUUGUAUGGAAAUUAGAGCAGGGCGAGUUGAAAAUUACUACUUUGCUUCGGGCAUCAAUUUAGAAAGAUUUAAAGUACAAAUGUAUUAUUAGUUUAAGGGAUUUGUUUUAAAGAAGGAAUGACAAUUAAACCUCAUGGUUGAUGUGUGGAAGGGAACCAAUGAUGGGAUGAUUACUCCUAGUGGUAAAAAAAAAAACUAUUAAGGUGGUUAUUAUAGUUGUUAUCACCGGCCCAAAAUUAGAAUAGGUUCAGGUCGGAUUAUAUUGAGCUUGUAGAUGAGUUUGCAUGAUAAUAGGUGUUCACAGAAAGAUAUCUAUAGUUUCCUACAAAGUCACAUGUGAGAUCGUGCAUUGGGACCGCAUAAAAAUGUUUUAUGUUUAGAAUAUGAUACGUGUCUAUGUGUAUGGAAUCUACCUAAUAUAUCAUAUUAAUUAAUAGUAUCAAUUGCGGAGCCAAAAAAUUAUUUCUGAGGGGUCAGAAUUAAAUUGUAUAUUUUUACAAAAAUAAAAAUUAAAUUUCACUAUUUUAAUAGUUUAUUUCUUUUUAAUUUUUAAAUGAUUAAAUUAAAUUUUUAUAAAUUUUUGGGAUCAAAGUACAAUUUUAUCAUUUCUAAUUUAAAAUUUUAUAAAAUAUAAAAAGUUUAUAUGAAAAGUUUUCUAUUUUAGAGUGGCCAAAGCCCCUGCCAACUUCCGACUCGAUCACUAAACAAUAUAAAUAAAUAAAUACCACCAUCUAAAAGACUCAAGAAAAACACUCAACGAUAAAUAGAUAGAUGUUGGGUAAAGAUACGUUUGGAUGGGCGGUGCGUUUACUUGCGGUUAGUAUAAAAAUAGCGGUGGCGGUUAGAUUAGAUACUAUAGCAACACUGUAGCGUAAGACAAAAAAUAAGCUAAACGCACUGCACUGCACUUAAUCGCCCAUCCAAACUCACCCUAAGUGUCCAAAAUAUGAUUUAAGUGAAGAUACGUAGGGUAGGUGUCAUGGAAAUGUAAAAGACAAGAAUCCCACUAAUGUAUGGGAUGUGUACAGCUGAAUGUAGGGAGCAAAGAGGAGUGAAUCAUUUUGGUAACAUUUGGACAAGAAACAUAAUGAACAAAAUGAAAGGAGAGGAAGCUAGUAAAAGAUUUUUUUGGGUUAUAUAAUUUGUUUGGCAUAUAUUUUUAUAAUUUUUAAAUAUCAUUUUGGAGUUGAAUUAUAAUUUCUUUUUAUGUUUUAAAACAUAAUUAUUCUAUCUUCAAAGGGUUAGAGUAGAGGUGAGCAUGGGUCGGGCUACUCGGCCCGAAAUGUGAGAGAUUUGGGCAAAAAUAUAGGCUCAAAAAAUGGACUUGGACAAAAAAAUAUAAGGCCCGUUGAAAAAUGGGCCGGGCAUUGGGUAAGGCAUUUUUGGCCCCGGGCCCGGCCCAAUCCUAAUUCACUAAAGGACAAAAAAAAUCUGAUUUUUAAAUAUUAUUUUCUCCCUAUUUUGCUACCAUUUUACUAUUAUGUUGCUACUAUUUUGUUGUUAUUUUUUGGAUAUUGUAUAAAACUUAUUUUAUUGUUAAUUUUGUUAUUAUUUUAAAGACAUUUGUUAAUUUUGUUAUUAUUUUAGAGACAUUUGCUUGUUAAGUUGCAUCUAUCUUAGUGUUAUUUAAGUAUACAUAUUUUUUAAAAUUUAUUUUCAAUUUAUUGGGAAAUAUUUAUUUUGAUGUUUUUAGUAUUUUGGAUGUAUUAUAUAUAUUAAAAUUAUAUAAAAAUUAAUAUGGCCGAGCCGAGUCAGGCCCAGAUUUUAGCAUUUUUAUUCAAGUCGGGCUUGAGCAAAAUUUUAAGCCCAUUUUUUGGGCCAAACCAGGCCUGGGCUUAGCAAAUGGGCCUAAAUUUUUAGUCAAGCCCGACCUAAACCCGAUCCGGCCCAUACUCACCUCUAGAUCAGAGCUGCCCUCGCUUUUCAUUUCUUUGAGAUUCAGUCUUAUCUACUGUUGAUUGCCCACUCAAUUGAGGGUUGAGUAGAAAGAUUUGGUGAAGCAAGCUAAGCUAUCAAUCAAGGUUGGAGAAAGCUUAGGAGGUCACAAUGCAUAAUUAUUUAAAUGUAAUUCUAAUAUUUAAAUAAAAUUUAUUAAUAUAGUAUUAACAAGCCCUAAAUGUAAUGAUUAUAUACUAUUACAUUUUUAAGAAGAGAAAACAUGUUUGAACCUUAAAAACAUCAUUAUUAAAAAUGAUAAUUAAAAAUUUUAAAAUAUAAAAAAUAUAAUUAAAAAUUAAUUUUAAACCCGAGCUGGAUAAAAUUCUAAUUUUAGAUAACGAUACUAAUAAGAAAUCAAUAUUAAAAUGAAAAUGAAAAGUAAUUUAAUAUAAUUUUUGAGUCUUGGGCAAAGGCACUCAAUGAAUGCUUGGAAAGAAAUAAUGCAACUUGGUGAUAGCUUUUGUUGGAGUAAUAUGCUCUUAUUAUAGUUUUAUGUUUUUAUCUUGCAAAAACAACAUAUUGGAGUUUUCGGCAUGAUUUUUUCUUAAUACUUUACAUGAAAAAUAAUAAUGGGACUUAAAAAUCUAUCAAAAGCUUCACCAUAAUAAUAAUAAUAAUAAUAAUAAUAAUAAUAAUAAUAAUAAUAAUAAUAAAUUGCUACAAUAUUACAACACGUUACAAUAAGAGCUUAUAACUCAACAAAGGCUAUCAAUAAAUAAUCUCAGGCAAGCUAAAGAGAAAUGUUGAGAAUACCACCCGAAUAGUGACUGACUUUAAAAGUUGAAAACCCGAAGCUAUAGUAUCUCAAACGAAAUCAAACCAUAAACAUUAAAAUUUUCAAGUCUACUAGCUACUGUAAAAAAUGCAGCUCCAACAGACACCAAAUGAGUCUUUGAUCGAAGAAAGUACAAAAACUAGUCUGGGUAAACCAAGCUGCCAAACUUACUUAUCUUAUCUUUAAUUUUGCAGUGAAAUUAAAAACUAAGUUUUUGUUUAUUUCACUUGGAACAACUUUCAAAAAAUUAUUUUUGAAAAAUGGAUUGGUUUUUCGAAAUAGAUGAUAUUUUAUUGUGUUAAAAUUUUAUUCGUUGUUGGAAAACUUUUUUUAAAUCAUUUUCUUAAAGUUAUUUUUAGUGAAACAAACAUAACAUAAAUAUAUUUGUUACAAAAAAAUUAUAUUAGUAUUUUCUUUUGACAAUUAAAAUUUAUUUUAUGAUAAGACAAUAUUUUGUAAUAAUUAAUAUCAUAUAUAUACUUAUUAAAAAAAUCUUGUUUAAUUAAAAUUUAAUUAAAAUUAAAUAUAUUAAUAAAGCUACAUAUAAUCAUAUUUUUUAUAAUUAAAAUAUUAAUAUAAAUAUUUUUCAAUAAUAUAUUAAAAUAUUAAAAUUUAAAUUAUUAUUACUUAAAUUAAUUAUUAAAAUAAAAAUUUAAGAUUAAAUAAUUUAUUCAAUGAUAAGUUUUAUUAAUAAUUUAUUGUAUUAUUAAAUAUAAUUAAUUAAAUAUGCAUAUUUAAUAAUAUUACGUUAUAAUAUUUUAAUAUUCUUAAACAGCCAUGUUUUUAAGAUGCUGGUGAUGGUGAUGGUGCGGGCCUCUCUUGUUACAAUUACUAUAAUUUUUUGUGCAAUAAUUGAAGUUGUUGGGUGGUCAAGCAAACCUCUUUUGACUGAGAUGCAUAUAAUAUACCCGCAUGUCCCCGCCUCCUAAAAUUUAAAUUUGCUAUUUGAAUCUUUAAAAUUUUUAAAAAUUUUAAAUUCAUAAAAGUAAAAUUAUACUUUGACCCUCUAAAAUUAUAAAAAUUUAAUUUAAUCUUUUAAAAAUUAUAAAUAUAUAGACUAUAAAAAAUUAAAAUUUCAUUGGGCCCCUAAUAUAUUGUUCAGGCUUCACCCUUGAUACUGAUGUUGACUAUUUUAGAGUAUGUGUCUUCUUUAAUAGGGUUAAAUUAUAUAUUUAUAUAAUAUAGUUAUUGUUUAUGGACGUGACAUCGUAACUAGGUUCUUAUGCAUGUCAACAUAUAUCCUAUUUUAAGGUUAACACGUAUUUUUAAAUAUGAAUUCACCUAUAUAAUGGUAUGAACCAUCAUGCAGUCUCAUAAAAUAUGCGAAUAUAUGUCGUGCGAACACAAAGUACAAACCACACAGAAUACGAAUUAAGACCCAAUUGAAUAAUCGGAUACGAAUCAGUAAUAAUGAAUUUCAUAACAGCCACCAACCCCUCUUUUGUUUUAAUUUAUUUUAUUUCCAGUAAGUUAUUGUUUGUGAUAAUUCACAACAAAUGCUUUUGUCAUUAUUUUGUUGGUAAAUAAUAAUAAGAUUAAACUUUACUUUCUUAAGCUCCUUCAAUUCUUUGGAAGUUGGUGGUUUUUUAUUCUAAUCUUAUUUUUUUUAUUAAUUUCUUUUUUUAUAAUAAAUGUGUUUAUAGAUCAGGUUGGAUUAUAAUUGAAUCAUUGUCUGGUAUUAACAUAAUUUAUAUCGAUUAAAAUUUAUUCGACUGGAAAUAUAAAUUUAAAAUUUUACUUCAAUUUAUCUUAAUUUAUAAAUUGUGAAUUUAAAUUUAUUUAUUUUCUCUCAUUAUAUUCAGUUUUUCGGAUCAUAUUUGGCCCAGAACAAAAACUAGAACAAAAAAACAAAUAUAUAUGUUUUCCAAAAAUUAAAUUGUUAACUUCAAAAAAAUAUAUUUUUAGCUAUUUAUCAUCAUAGAGAAAAACAAAUAAGGUCACCUCGCCUUAUGCUUCAACACCUCAACCUAGAUUCUCAUCACCUGUAUUUAUCAUCGAUUCAGAUUUUUAUUUUUACUAUAUUCUAGAUCUACCUAUAAAUAUAUCUUCAAACUUCCUCUGGUUAAGUUCAUUCAUAGAUAGGUGAGUAAACUUGAGCUUCAGCUUCAACAAACACCUUAGUUUGAAGACACAAUUCUCUCAUACUAAAAAUAUGGAAGUUUACCAUGUAAUUAGAGAUUUGGUCUCAUUGCUUGUUGUUGGUUUAUUAAUGAUAUGGGGAUGGAGAGCUUUAAACUGGGUAUGGUUGGCCCCAAAGAGGCUCGAAAGGUGCUUGAGACAACAGGGUUUUGCAGGGAAUCCUUACAGGUUCCUUUCUGGUGACAUAAAAGAGCUCUCAACUAUGAGCAGACAAACAAGAGCCAAACCUAUGCCUCUUAGUGAUGAUAUUGGGCCUUAUGUUGCUCCUUUUCUUCAUCAAACUGUCAACCAGUAUGGUAUGUUUAAUUAUUAUUUAAUCUUCAAUUUAUGAUAAUUCUUUGUUAUUUAUGAAUGGAAUUUAUUGGGAGGAAAUGCAGGAAAGAAUUCAUUUACGUGGAUUGGUCCAAGACAAAGGGUGAACAUUAUGGACCCUGAAAAAAUAAGAGAAAUAUUUACCAAAUUUAAUGACUUCCAGAAGGUGCGUACCAAUCCACUGCUUACUUUGCUUGUAAGCGGCCUUGUUAACCUCGAAGGAGACCGAUGGAGCAAACAUAGAAAAAUCAUAAACCCUUCAUUUCAUCAAGAUAAGUUGAAGGUAUAGAAUAGUGAUGGGUACUUAAGACUUAAUUUACAGAAAACAUGAUACUUAAAUCUAUGCUUUUCUGAUUUAGAAAUGAUUGGAUGCAGAAUAUGUUGCCAGCAUUUUAUCAAAGUUGUUGUGACAUGUUAAGCAAAUGGGAGAAGAUGGUGUGUACAGAAGGAUACAGUGAGUUAGAUGUGUGGCCUUAUCUUGUAGAUUUGACAAGAGAUGUGAUUUCCCGAUCUGCUUUUGGAAGCAGCUUCGAAGAAGGCAGACGAAUUUUCCAAUUACUAGAUGACCAACUCGUUCUCAGAAUCAAAUUACUACAAACUGUUUACAUUCCAGGAUGGAGGUAACCCUCAAUUUACUUGAAAAAGGUUGCAAAUGUUGGAAUUGGCUAAAUUCGUGUUUGUUUCCUUAAAGGUUUUUGCCCACAAAGACAAACAGGGAGGUGAAGAUGAAACACAAAGACAUAAAAGAGUCGCUCAGGGAAAUGAUAAAAAGAAGAGAGCAGGCAAUUAAAGCAGGGGAAGAGAGCAAUGAGGACUUGUUGGACAUACUUGUGGAAUCCAAUAUCAGAGAAAUGGAAGCAAAGAAAAAGGGGAUGAGCAUUGAGGAUGUGAUUGAGGAAUGCAAGCUGUUUUACUUUGCUGGCCAGGAGACCACUUCGGUCUUGCUGGUGUGGACUAUGGUUUUAUUAGCAAGGUAUCCCGAUUGGCAAAGUAAAGCAAGAGAGGAGGUUUUGCAUGUUUUGGGUGACAGUAAACCUGAUGCUGAUGGCCUUAAUCGCCUCAAAGUUGUAAGUCCCUAGCAUGUCUUUUGAAGGUCCGAUCAAUAAGGUCGACAACUCAAAAAUUUGGUUUCUUUUUUCGCUAAUUCUACAGUUAACAAUGAUAUUGUACGAGGUUCUAAGGCUGUACCCAUCAGCGACUGAGCUAGGACGUUCCGUUCCAAAAGAAAUAAAACUGGGAAAUUUGUUGUUACCAGCAGGAACAGAAAUUUCGGUUCCGAUCCUGCUGAUCCACCAUGACAAAGAUCUUUGGGGCGAUGACGCACGGGAAUUUAAGCCAGAGCGGUUCGCGGAAGGGGUUUCCAAAGCAACAAAGAGUCAAGUCACGUUUCUGCCAUUCGGAUGGGGUCCUAGGAUCUGCAUUGCCCAGAAUUUUGCUAUGAUGGAAGCCAAAAUGGCGGUGGCCAUGAUUCUCCAACGCUUCUGGUUCGAGCUUUCCCCUUCCUAUGCUCACUCUCCUUGCAGCAUGGUAACGCUUCGUCCACAGCAUGGUGCACAGAUUAUUUUACAUAAACUUGGCUCUAAUUGAGUAGUUAUGUAAACAAAUCAUUGUGAAAAUAGUGUUUUAACGUAUCGUAAAAACUCCGGUGUCUGUAAUGGAACAUUUCCGAUGCAUGGAUAGUAAAUUUUGUGAUGUUUGGUGAAGUCCGAAAUAAUAUGCAGAACUUGAGUGUCCUGAAUGGAUGUAGUAUUUAAUGGUGGACAUAGUUGAGGGACUAAUGUGGGAAUUAUCAAACAAAGAAUUGCAUAUGGUACAAAGACUUGUAUGGAAAUUAGAGCAGGGGGAGUAGAAAAUGACUACUUCUACGGGCAUCAAUUGAGAAAGAUUUCCGGUGCAAAUGUUAGCAAAUUUUUGAGCUUCAGCCUUAAACAUUAGCAAGAUUGCAAUACCGGGAUUAUCUAGUGUUGGUUGCCCACUCAAUUGAGGGUUAAGUUGAAGGAUUUGUUGAAGCAAGCUAAGCUAUCAAUCAAGGUUGGAGAAAGCUUAGGAGGUCACAAUACAUCAUUAUUGCAUAAUUAUUUAAAUGAAAUUUAAUAUUUAAAUAAAAAAUAUUAAUAUAGUACCAACAAUAUUCCAUUUCUUUUAACCAAGUGUUUCUAGAUUAUGAAAUUCAUUAAUGAUUUGUAAAAUAUAUUGAUGCGAUCCCGGCCGCAUCAUGUUUCGAUACAACUCGACGACCUCAGAAUUGACCUAAACUCUAGGGGCCCAAGUGCAAAAUGAAGCUUAAUUUCAGCUCAAUGAGCUCAAUUCUAGCUUCUUCAAGCUCGUCUAGUUCAACCCAAGCUCAUUUAGCUUAACUUCAACCCAUUUUUAAUUUGUUGGAAUAAGUAUUUAGUUGCUGGAAUAAAUUACUCAUCUUAGUUAAUUGAGUUCAUCUUAGUUAAUUAAGUUGUUGGAAUAUGUUACUCAUCUUAGUUAAUUUAGUUGCUAGAAUAAUUUAUUGUUGCAUGUGUUUUUAAGUUUAUUAAAUUCAGUUAAGUGUUAAAUGUGUUUAUUUACAGUUUAUUAACUAAGCUUGUUAAGUCUAAUAUGUGUUAAAAUGUGUUUAAUGUGUUUGUUUGUAGGUGACUAAUCAGUUGGAAACAGUUAUGUACAAGGGCUGUUACAAAGUGUUAAAUGCGACUAUUCAUUUGGAAUCGGUUACAUACAAGGGGCUAUUACAUUAUUUAAAGGAGAGCAUUAUACAUCAUUUAAAGGAGAAUUUAAAGCUUUUCCUAAACUUUUUGGCUGCUCAAGAAUGAAAUCUAAGCAUUCAAGCUUAUUAAAUCAACUGAAUUAGAACAUUAAAUGAUCUUAUUGAUAGUUGCUGUUAUUUAGGCCUAGAAUUUCAAGAGUUUGUGCUUAGUGACUAAGUUAAUUUCAGCUCAUUAUUAGCUCAUUAAGCUGAACAAAAGUGACUAUUCGGCUAGGCCUCAUUUAGCACUAUAAAUACUUGUAAUCAGCUCAUUGUAAAAAAAACUUUUUGCUGAAUUUAUGCUAAAUUUGAAACUUGUGAGAUUUCCAAUUCUCGUUGUUCUUUCGAGAUUGAAUUGACUUAUCAAGUUUUCUUGUGGCAUCAUUCUUUCUUUUGUUUAAACCGAACUUAUCACCUUUUGGUGUGGCGUUCAUAUACAUUUGGUUCCUAUCACUUUUGAUAGUGGGUAAAGGUCCUUGCUGUUUUCUUUAAACCGUAAAUCACCUAAGAGCUAUUUUGAGACUCGGGUCAACAAUCUAAUAUUGUUGGUUCAUUCUCGGUCUUAGCCAAAUUAUCCAUUAUUUACUUAACCAUUUUACCUACUACCAUUGUUUGAAGCCAUUUAUCCUAUUUUGUUUCAUUUAACUGAAACGAACUUAUCCUUACUCAAUUCACGAUCGGGUAAUCUAAACGACUCGAAUCAUUCCGAAACGAGUUCGUAUCAUAUAUCCUCCAUUCUUAUUGAGUGGGUGUAAUGAAAAUUCUCCUAUUUCUAAUUGUGAUAAAGUAGAGACUCUCUUUAGAAAAAAGGCAGCAACAUUUUUCAAUUAUUAAUUGAACACCUUGGUGAAUUUUCGUUUUUUUUCUUUUUUUCUUUUUACGGUUCAAUUUUCGUUUGGGUAUUGUAAUUUCAGGUUAAUCAUUGUUUGGUUGAUAUUCUCAACUUCAAUCUUUAAUUUACUUGAGAUUAUUAGUUGAUUGUUUUUGUUGGAAUCAUAUGAUUUUAUUGUGUAUUUAUGUUUUAAUCUUUUAGAAAGAAGUUUUUAUGUGGACUUUCAAGCUUCGUAAUUUUUAUUAUUUGCUUUACGUAAAAAAAACUCGUGGGAUACAAAAAUUCACAAAAAAACUUGCUAUAAGAUUACAACACAAAACCAUAAGCUUAUAACUCAACAAAAGCUAUCAAUAAAUAAUCUCAAGCUAGCUAAAGAGAAAUGUAGAGAAUAUCACCCAAACAGUAACUUGCUUUAAAAGUUAAAAAUCCAAAGUUAUAGUACCCCAAACGAAAAUCGAAUAUUAAACAUUAAAGAUCUUCGAUUCUACUAGCUAUUGUAAAAAAAAAAAUUCCAACGGACACCAAAUAGACCUUUGAUCGAAGAAAAUACGAAAACUAGUCUGGUUAAAACUACAUGCCAAACUCACUUUUUCUCAUUUCUUUAACUUGCGGUGAAAUUCAAAACUAAUGUUAUAUUUUUUCACUGAAAUUAACUUUAAAAAAAUUAUCUGAAAAAAAUGAUUGAUUUUUCAAAAAAGAUUGAUAUUUUUUUAUGUUUGGAUGAUUUUUUGUAAAAUAUAUUUCGUUGUUUGACAAAUUUUUUUGAAAUAAUUUUCUUAGAGUUGUUUUUAGUAAAACAAACAUAAGAUAGAUAUAUUUGUUACAAAAGAUUAUAGUAACAUUUUCUUUUGACAAUUUAAAUUUAUUUUAUAACAAGAUGAUAUUUUAUAAUAAUUAAUAUUAUAUAUAAACUUAAUAAUAAACAAUAUCUAAUUAAAACUUAAUUUAUAUUAAAUAUAUUAAUAAAGCUAAGUAUAAUUUAAACAAAUACUCAUGUUUUAUAUCAUUAAAAUAUUAAUAUAAAUAUUUUUCAAUAAUAUAUUAAGAAUAUUAUUUAAAAUUUAAAAUUAUUAUUUUUAAAAUUAAUUAUUAAAAUAAAAAUGUAAUAUUAAAUAAUUUAUCAAAAUGAUAAGUCAUAUUAAUAAUUUAUUAGAUUAUUAAAUAUAAAUAAUUAAAUAUGUAUAUUUAAUAAUAUUGAACAUUAUAAUAUUUUUUAUUAAUAUUUUAAUAUUAUUAAUAUAAUAAUAUUGGACUUGAUUCAAGUUAAUUUUUAUAUAAAAAAAAUAAAAUUACAUGUAAAUGAACUCAUUUUCAAAAAAAUAACUUGUACUUUUAAAAAAGGUAAACUAAUUUACAGAAAAACAAACUUAUUUUCUGUUAAUCUAUAAUUUUUUUUGUUAAUCAAAUUAUUUUCAUGAAAUAAAUAUAAAAAAAUACAAAAAAAAAACAGUUUCCAUAUUAACACUCAAUACUAAACUGUCAUUUUCCUCCGCUUCCCUAAUUUGUAUGUAGCAGUGAACGUUUGAUCGAAUCGAGUAAAAAAAAUUGAGUUGACGAGUCAUAUUUUAUCAUCUUAACUUGAUUUGAAAUUUUUUUAAAUCAAGUCAAAGACUAAGAGCACAUAAAUUUGAAACCUUAUCUAUUUGAAUUUGUUUUAAAAAAAAAAAGAAAAAAAAUACUUUAGCAUGAUAAACUUGAAUUGUGAAUUAACUUAUUUAGGUCCCAAAAUUAUUAUUUUAUAAUUUUUUUAAAAAAUAUAAAUUUUAAAAUUUUUAUAAAUAUUUUGAAUUGAAUUUUUGUUGAAAGAGAGACCGAUCUAUCAUUUUCAAAAUUAAAAAAAAGACCAAACUAUAUUUACAGUAAUUUAUUAUUCGAAUUAUUUAAAUUAUAUAAUUUAACUCAAUUUAAAAUCGAAACUCGAAUAACUCAAUUUUUAACCCGAAAUUUAUUUUUUAAAUUUUUUAAAUCAAAUCGAAUUUUGUUCGCCCUACAUCAAUAACUUUGUAUCCAUAUCAAGCUUUUUUUUAAGCUAUAUAUAUUAUUUUAGAGAAUACAUGGUCACCACGGUUCAAUGAUUGAACACCACUCCACUCUCCACUUUUUUUAGAUAAGUCUUUGGCCUGUGUGGUUUAUCCUCUUAAUUUUUUGAGGAUAUCAUUUACUAAAUAAUUUAUUUUUUACAUAAAUUUUAAUAUAUAUUAAUAAUAAAUUAAUUCAAUUGGUAAUAUUUAACUAUUCUCAUAACUCAUUUUUAAUAAAGAAAAUAAUAAAAUUCGAUUAUGAUAAGGAGGUUUUAUUUUUAACAAAAAUUAUUUUUUAUAUUUCUAAGUUUAAAUCUAAAUUUAUACAAGUUAUUCUUUAUUUUAUAUCUAAUUAUUGUAAAACAUAAAUAAUAUUUUUUUUUCCUUUUCAUGCUACCAAACAAUCCAUUAAUCAUUAAUUAUAUUAAAAUCUUUGACUUAUUAAUAUUUAUGGAAAGUAAAUCGGAUGCUAAAGAAAUCUUAGUCAAACCAAAAAGAAAGAAGAGAUAGAGGUGGGCAAAGCUGAGGUUCAGCUUUCAUAAACACCUUCAUUUGAAGACACAGUUCUCAUACUCAAACCAAAAGACAUGGAAGUUUUCCUUGUAAUUAGAGAUCUGGUUUCACUGCUUGUUGUUGGGUUAUUAAUGAUAUGGGGAUGGAGGGCUUUAAACUGGGUAUGGUUGACCCCAAAGAGACUCGAAAGGUGCUUGAAACAACAGGGUUUUGCAGGAAAUCCUUAUAGGUUCCUUUCUGGAGACAUCAAAGAGAGCUUCACUAUGAGCAGACAAACAAGAGCCAAACCUAUGCCUGUUAGUGAUGAUAUUGAGGCUUAUGUUGUUCCUUUUCUUCAUCGAACUAUCAACAAUCAUGGUAUGUUCUACAUUAAUCUGCAAUUUCAUCGUGAUAUUCAGAUUUCUUUUUUUAUGUCUGAAGUUUAUUAGGGGAUAUGCAGGAAAUAAUUCAUUUAUGUGGUUUGGUCCAAGACCAAGGGUGACAAUUAUGGACCCUGAAAAAAUAAGAGAAAUAUUUACCAAAUUCAAUGACUUCCAGAAGCCUCAUUCCAAUCCACUGGUUAGAUUCCUUGUAGGUGGCCUUUCCAACCUCGAGGGAGACCAAUGGAGUAAGCAUAGAAAAAUUUUAAACCCUGCAUUUCAUCAAGAUAAGUUGAAGGUAUGUUGUAUUUGCACUUUUUUUCCUCUUUCAAUUCAAUCAUUUUGACUUACCUUAAUCAAUACCUUUAGGAGACUAAUUUUCAUUUCUAAUAUAUUUAUGUACUUCUGGUAUGGAAAUAAUUGCAGAACAUGUUGCCAGCAUUUUAUCAAAGUUGUAAUGAGAUGAUAAGCAAAUGGGAGGAGAUGGUGUCUAAAGAAGGGUACAGUGAGUUAGAUGUGUGGCCUUAUAUCGUAAAUAUGACAAGAGAUGUGAUUUCCCGAGCUGCGUUUGGGAGCAGCUACGAAGAAGGAAGAGGAAUUUUCCAACUAUUAGAGGACCUAACCUCUCUCACAAUCAAAGUUUUUCAAUCUGUUUACAUUCCAGGAUGGAGGUAAACCUGAACUUUAUCUUCGAGUUUUAAGGAAAAUGUUACAGAUGUUGAAAUUCGAAUCUCGGGUGUUUGUUUUCUUGAAGGUUUUUACCCACAAAGACUAACAGGGAGUUGAAGAUGAAACACAAAGACAUAAAAGAAUCGCUUAGGGAAAUGAUAAAGAGAAGAGAGAAGGCAAUUAAAGCAGGGGAAGAGAGCAAUGAGGACUUGUUGGACAUACUUGUGGAAUCCAAUAUCAGAGAAAUGGAAGCAAAGCAUAAGGGGAUGAGCAUUGAGGAUGUGAUUGAGGAAUGCAAGCUGUUUUACUUUGCUGGCCAAGAGACCACUUCGGUCUUACUGGUGUGGACUAUGGUUUUACUAGCAAGAUAUCCUGAUUGGCAGACUAAAGCAAGGGACGAGGUCUUGCAUGUUCUUGGUGACCGUAAACCUGAUGCUGAUGGCCUUAAUCGUCUCAAAGUUGUAAGACCCCUUCUCCUAAAUUCUCUCAUUAUUAUUGCACCGAAUAUAUAAAAUUAAUCAUUUUACUACUCGUUUUUCCAAGUUAACAACUAAAAAACUUGGUUUCUUUGUUUCGCUAAUUCUACAGGUAACAAUGAUAUUGUACGAGGUUCUAAGGCUAUACCCAGCAGUCGUUUCGCUAGCACGCUCCAUUCCAAAAGAAAUAAAACUGGGAAAUUUGUUGUUGCCAGCCGGAACAGAACUUUUGCUUCCAAUCCUGCAGAUCCACCAUGACAAAGAUCAUUGGGGUGACGACGCACAUGAAUUUAGGCCUGAGCGGUUCGCCGAAGGGGUUUCCAAAGCAACAAAGAGCCAAGUCACGUUUCUGCCUUUUGGAUGGGGUCCUAGGAUCUGCAUUGGCCAAAACUUUGCCAUGAUGGAAGCCAAAAUGGCGAUGGCUAUGAUUCUCCAACGAUUCUGGUUCGAGCUUUCCCCUUCCUAUGCUCACUCUCCUUGC
rnacentral:lncRNA from 1 species